AGUUGGAAACUUUCCCUCUUUGUCUGUAUAUUUUAUUGAACUUGGAAAGAAGUAAAAUGAUUUUGGCCAGAAAAAAGGUAAAAAGAUUUUUCAAACAAAAAACGUAUGAGCAUGCAAAACAACAACCAAAAUAGUGAAAAUGAAAGCUUACCUUUUGCGUGCAAUGAAAGCAAGAGGAAGAUUAUGUUUAAGUUCAGAGACGACGAAGAAGAAGAGAGGAAGACGAUGAGAUACUCUGACAGUGCUCUGACAAGGAAAAAAGUCUAAAAGUUUUCUCUGGGAGAUUGAACUUUUUAAUCGGGUUUGAAAACGGCGCAUGUGUAUGUCAGGUAGACGAAAAGUUGCUUACAUAUAAAACCAUUUCAAAAAAAUAAUACGGCGGUUACAUAUAACUACGACGUAUAAAUUACAAAAUACGACGGUACAUUUAACUUCGGACGUGGUAAAUAAAUACGACAGUAGUGUUGUAGGUACCGUCGUAGUAAACUCAAAAAUUAAAGUACAUAAGUAAUAACUCGCGUCAUGGUAGAUUAUUUAACACGUCGUUUUUAUUAAUUUACCGACGUGGAUUUCUGUAAUAUACGUCGAUAAUACCGACGUUGAUUUUACAAUUUAAACGGCGGUUUUUUUGUAAGGACCGCCGUUGGUUUUAAAAAUUUAUUCUAUAAAUUUGUCGCUUUCAUUCAUUUUCGGUUUACAUUUAAGGUUCCAAGUUCUUCCUCUCUCAGUCUCUCACGUCUCAAAGACAAUAAUUUGGAUGUCUUUCUCAAAGAGAAAUUGAGCUUACUCGCAUCAAAUAUAUGUCCACAAGAAGAAGCUUGUCAACUAGCCUUCUCACUUCCUUGAUCAAGCCUGAUAGGACACUUAGUGCUUCUGAAUACUCCUUGCUUUCCAUCAAAAGAGAUGCAAGCCUGGCCUCCACUCGCUGUCGAAGGAAAGUUCGCUUCUCAGGGAAAUCUUCUUGAUUUUCUUGGCUAAGAAGAUCCGUCAGAUUUGUGAUAGCCUCUUCCUUUAUCCGUAGAGCUUCAGAAGAAGAAGAUGGGUUUCAAGAAUGCGAUAAAGAAUAGAAAUGGCUUCAGAUGGCCUCUAAAGCAUGAGCAAUCGAAUCAGUAGUUGUUGGGAGAUAUGAUGAAGACAUUGUCAAUGCUUUGAACUAUACAAGUCCUGCAGAAAGAUAAAGGACCAAACUGUUAAAGAAACUGAAACAAUGGCGGUUUUCUGUUCUACCGUCGUCUUUUCUCGUCGUCUAUAUUAAGGUAAGAUGGCGGUAGAUUUAUAAUUACCGACGUAGAUUAUUUUGUUAAACGUCGUUAAGUGUACUACAACCGACGUGGAUUUUAUUUUUAAAUUAUAAAUAGAGUUUUUUUUCCCCUAUUCUUUCAGUUUUAGUUUUCAAUUACAAAGCGUGAUAAAUAGAUUUUUCUUUCCCGAGGAAAUUUAAAAUGAGGGAAAUUAAUGUUCUAGAAUUUGUAAACUAACACGACGCAAUAUUUGCAAAUCUGUGUCAUCUGUUAAGAUUAUGAUGUGGAACAGAGUUCCAUCUGGUAAGAUUUCGUAACCCUUGGGAUCUCAGACAAAUCUGAUUAUGUCGGCGGUUUUCUAUAUAAAUCGUCGUGGUUAUUUCAAUUCUUGUCAUUAAGUAGAUCUACCGACGUAGGAUAAGAAAAUCAAAGAAAAAAAUUGUUAACAAAAAUUCUUAUUAAGACGACGGUUAAAAUUAAAGGUACGACGUAUAAAAUGAAUAAAUACGACGUUAAAUUUUAUUGUACGAUUUAAAGAUAACGUCGUAGAACUAUAAGAGAAUGACGUCGAUAUAUUUAUAUUUUCCGUCGUUGUACAUUAAUUUAAUACGGCGAUAUUUUGUAUUUUAAAGCCGUGGAUUUGUUUGUAAUUAUACGGCGUCUUAUACGAAAACCUCGUCGUGUUAUUUUAUGAGUAAAAACGGCAGUUUUUAUUGAAAUCGUCGUCUUUACUUUCUACGUCGGUCGAUUCAUAACUUCUGCCGUUCUUUGUUGGCAUUGAUUUUACACUGCGAAAAUCUGUUUCAAAUAGACGUCGGUUGUUUAAUUAUGUACGUUGUUGUUUUUGAACAGCCAUUUGAAUCUCCAUUUUUUAGUUGUCUAAGGUUGUAUUACACGACGGUGUUUUUAGAACCGUCGUCUUUUUAAAAACCACGACGGUUUUCACUUAGACCGUCGUUGUUUUCUGGUCGUCUUUUUCACUUUUUGUAGUAGUGGCAUAUGAUGACGACACUCACAACAAGAUCAUGGCAUUUGACUCGAGUUGUAUGAUUCUCUCUUAAGUGUAUGUAAAGUGUAUGACAUUUACAUCAAUACGUGUAUUCUUAAUUGAAAUCUACUAUGGCAUUUACUCAAAUUAACAAUCAAGAAUCCAUUAAGAUCAAAGAGAAUAUGAGUGUCACAAAAACCCUAAAACAUGGCAUUUGUUAUUAGGAAUUCAAGAAUCGAUUUCUCAUAACUAGUUCUUAACCCAAUUAUUCGUUGCAAAUAAGAACACAUUCAAUAUGGCAAUUGACCUAUGUUCUACAACAAUUUAAUUCCAAUACAUGCUUCUAAGUUAGCUACUCAAAGAAACAAAAUAUCAGAAUUCACAUAACAUAUAGAAACCGAAAACAUCACGCUUGUAGAAACUAAAAAUCCAUUAACCUUGUUUAUAAAAUUGAAAUCAUGUUUAGGGCUUCAAGAUUAAGCCCUAACUAACAAGAAAUUAGUUACUCAUGGUCUUGGAUGAACUCAAAAAUAAAUACAUAAGAACUGAAAAUUAAAGAAGGAAGGAAAAGAAAGAACUCGUUCGCAGCUUUCUCCUCUUGCGCUGUUGAUCUCUUUAGGACGUGAAUCCUUUUUAUCAGCCUUGCCUCGUCUUUUAUAUCACUUAUAUCAGAGUUCUAAACCCUAAAAUUGACUGAAAAGUCGUCCAAGAAGUCUUGGUAAACAAGGAAUCCAAAUAGGAAAGUAAAAAUCACAAUUCCUAACUCCACUGGGAAAUACAGCUCAGCCCAAUGUUCACACGAUUUUGGGAUCUUCGACCUUGUAGAAAAAUCAUUAAAAAUAUAUUUUAGAAAGAUAAAUGUCUUAUCUUUCCAACCAUAUAUAGCACGUAACUUGAAAAAUUCGGAAAGGCUUCCGUUUCUUCACAUUCACGUAGCAUGUACGAAACUGUCCUGUCUGCACGUGGGCUAACUUUACUUGUAAUACUGUACCAAUUGGCUCGGUAGAAAAUUCUAGAAAAAUCAUAGAUUGAACUUCAAGAUGUUAGCUUUCAUCUCCAAUCAGGGGCGGCCUUGGGGAGGUGCAAGUGGCGCCACCGCACAGGGCCCCCGAAAAAAAAAAUAUUUAUAUUAUAUAUAUAUAUUAAUAUUAUAUGAAUCGUAUAUAUAAUAUAGCGUCUGGAUAUUUGCACAACAGCGUGUUCAGGGGAGUUGGAUGGAGCACAUCUCUCUUUGGCAAAAGGGCCCGAGUUCGAUGCUCCUUGAUGUCGUUCUACUGGCUAGCCUUUUGUGAUAUUAUUUUUGCAUUCAAACUUUACAUAAUUAUUGAACCAUUGGAUUAAUAUGCAACGAUGGGUGACCACAAUCUCUUGGACUCCUGUGGUCCAUGAGAUCGGGACUGAUAUUACAUGACUUAUUUUAUUAAAUUAUUAUCAUGUUGAUGAUUGGUUGUAUGAGAAUAUAGUUUGUAGAAAUAUUUAUCUAUUUCUUGUUGGGGUUUUCUUCCAGGUUAUAGGGUUUUGGAAUUUUUCUUUGUAAUCUAAACAUGCCACCUACUAGAAAAUACGUUUAUGGAUAUACAAAACGGCUUAGAAAAAGAAAAUUCGAGGAAUUGACUCAAUCUCAAAGAGGAGCUCUUGAUAGAUUCAUUGUUAGAGAAUCACAUGCUACAAUUGAUGAAAAUAUUUAAAUUUUUAUGAAUUUAAUUUCUGAUUUUCAUUGCAUAUUUAUUGAUGGUGAAUUUUAGUUAUAAAAAAAAAUUGUUUAUGACAUUAAGUUAUGGCAAAUUUUUAUAGUAUUUUCGUAUUAGAUUAUGCAAGGCCCCAAUUUAAGUUUCGCACAGGGCCCUCAAAAUCUCAGGGACGGCCCUGUCUCCAAUUGGUCUUGUGCUAAAAUUCCUCCGAAAAGUUGAUUUUCCCUUAAAAACCUUCUAAGAGUGCAGAAAAGCUGAAAAUCAGAAAAAUAAAGUAAUAAGCCAUUUUUAAAUCUAAUUCUCUUACAAAACCAAAGUAAAAAGAGUACAUAAAUGAGUAUAUUUAUGGACUUAUCAACGUCUUCUUCGUUGGACUUGGGGUUGUUUUCCUUAUAUGUCCCCUAUAUAUAUAUAUGGCCUUUAGUUGAGCCCACAAAUACCUUCAGUUAGUUUUUGGGUUUAGGGGCCUACAGAACCUGCACUAAACAAUAAAAGAAAAUACCUAAUUAGUUUAGUACGAAUUUAUAAUGAAGGCUUUAUUAGGUGAAGUUUUAUUUCUUAAUCGUUAGAUCAAAUUGGUUAGCAUCUGAAGUCGCCCAAAGAUUUGAGAGGGAUUCCACAAACAUAUAAUAUAAAGAAAGAAAGCAAUAGUAGGAGAUGAACCAGUACAAAAAACAAUAUAUAAAUAGUACAUAAUAAUUCCAUAACCUUGUCACAAACGCACUCACAAAUGCUUUCCAUAAACCUUGCCCUAACAUAUAACAAAUAAAGGCAACAUUGCAUAUGAUGCAACCAUGUCCAAAUCUGAUACGUGAUAAAAAAAAAAGGACAUGGCAGCAACAUAUGACUGAAGUAGAUGGGCUCUUUGCAUCUCGUGUUAUCGUAAUUAAAGACAUCAAAAUAUUAAGGUUGAAAUCUUCUAUAGUAGCAAGCAUUAAAAUAGGUUUGAAGCAGAGUUUAAAGAAAAUUCCAAUUCCACUGAUUUGCCUCUGCUCAAAGACGAGAACCAAAAUGGUUACUUCCCUUGCUGAGUAUAUUUGUUAACGUCGGAAACGGUAAUAGAUGACCAAUCAAACCCAAGUACGACGAGUUUUGCAUAGGAUCAGAAGUAGUUGAAUCCAGCUUGCAUCACACGCUUCUUUGACUCCAUUGCAUUAGAUGAGUUUUUGUAUUUUUGAACAGCUACACUCCGAAGUCGUUUGUGUCUACGCUUCAUGCGCUGCAACUUCGCCCUAUCCAGAUUGGCCUGCCUUUUGUCAUCUUCAAUUUGGCCUUCAACAAAUUCCAAACGUGCCCUUGCCCUUUGGAUUUCAUCACCAAGUUGAAGAUGCCUCUCCUUCCAAAAAGCAAGAACUCUUUCAGACUCAAAACUUCCAACAAAAUGGUCAUUCUAUCUAGGAAUGUGACAUUGCUUGUCUGGUGACUCACCUGCGUUUCAAAGGCGGUCUUUGUUUGGAGGGGUGUUUAUUAUGCUCACAUCAAACUUGGUUAGUAAAUCCAUUCUAUGGGGGGAGUGAGUUUCUGUGGAGGAGAGAGUUUCAGUAGAUGGAGACAGAUUCGGUGGAGGAGUGAGAUUUUUGUGGAGGGAGAAUUUCUAUGAAAUGGGUGAUAGUAAUACCAAUAAAAGGGUUCCCGCCAAAAAGUAUUUGGUUGACAAUGUAUAAAUUAAUUUUUGGUCUGAUACAAUCUAAGUUUAAUCCUAACUAGUUUGGUUAGUUUGGUUGAAUUCACUAACUAGAUGUCACUUCCAUUGAGUUUCUUUCAACCACUAUCAGUGGUGUAAGGAGAGUGUGAGGUUGACAUGCUUGAAAAGCAAAACCUAACACCUCUUUUUUUUAAAAUUGAAAGAAAGUACAUAUGUUGACUACACACAAGCUUUGGUAUGUUGGUCUAUAAAGCUAUGUUCCCUUUCUCAAACGAAAUUGCAUAUGCAAUCCUCGUCCUCCCAAAACAAAUAGAAUUAUUCAAGCAUGUCAACCUCUUCAGGCGCCAACAACACAAUCAAAGAUGACAAAUUGGAGUCGCAGGUUCUAUUUCCACAUUGUACUCGCCGACCCCUUCCAUUUUCAACAUCAUUUGGGAGUGAGGGGGACUCCGAUGAUCCAUUAGAGCUAAUACAUGCAGUCAAUAGCAAGCUGGAUUAUAAUUCCAGACUGAUCAAUUCAUGGCGCGAGAAAUAUGUUGAAGACGAAGCCAUUUUGGCUGAUCUUAACAUUAGAGUGAACAAAGCGUUCUCCCAAAAGAACAAGUACUUGAAGCUGAGUCAUAAAAGGAAGCUGAAAGCUGAGGAGUUAGAUACAGUAAUGAAUGAUGAAAUUAAAGGUUGUUUGAUGAAUCAUAUGCGAUGCGAAGAGCACCACAGUGAACUGGAGUUGGCAUUCAACGAAGGAUUCGAAAAAUUACGAGCAUUUGCAGCAACUACUCAUACAAGUUAUAAUUGGGACUAUGUGUCCCCUGAUGUUGUGAGAGAGAUACUAGACGAUGGUGGUGACAUGAAUGAGCAUAAGCACGUCAAAGCUGCUUGGAAGAAGCCGACCGAUACGACUAAGUGAUUGCGGCUACAGUUGUUCAGUUGGUUGAGAGUGAUCGUGGUAUUGCACAAAUUAGAAGUAUAUUCCCAUAAUGUCAUUAUCUAAUUUAAAAUAACACAAAUAUCAGUUUCAUUUGCUUCAUAUUGUAACACCCCGACCCCAAAUUUCCCCAAAAUUUACCCUCAUUUAAUUAAUUAAUUAUUUAAGGGUAUUUUAGUCAUAUUUUUAACCGGAGAGAGUUUGGGACCAUGACUUGUAUUUUUGGAUAGGUCGUACUGAGACGAGUUCAUAGACACGUAGUGGGCUCGAAUCAGAGUUGUAACGAGAGAGAUAUGGUCAAAAGAAACCCAGUGGCACAAUCGUAAAUAUUUCAAAAUGGGAUUUUUAUAAAAAUCUGGUUUUUCUCUCUCUCUCUCUCUCUCUCUCUCUCUCUCCCGCGACUUCUCUCUCUCUCCCGUCGGCUCUCUCUCUUUCUCUCCUUGUAUCUCCGGCCACCGACCACGGCUGUGGGCGGGGCCGGUACCAAACUGACCGGGACGACGUCCCCUUCCUUCCCCGACCAUUCCCCGCCGGCAACGCGGCCGUUGCUGGCCGGAAAAUGCAGAAAACCGCCGGGAGGUCGUCGAAACUUCAACGCCGUCGAUCUCCCUCCUCCGGCCACCAUUUUCGUCGACCCAGGUAUGGAUCUUGAACCUCUCGAGCUGUUCUAGCUGUUUGUUGGUUGGGUUUUGAUCGAUUCGAUCUCUAGAUCACUCGAUUUUCGAAUUGAAAAUUGGCCGAAACUUCGGCCGCCGUGAUCGGCCAUUUUCGGCCACUUUUUGUGGUAGGUCCAAGAACAAAAGUGGCUCCAAAUAGGGUGUUAUACCUAGGGUAGAAGUUUGGAGCCGAGAUGUUGAGAUUUUCCGGCGAAGCGUUAUCGCUUUGGGCACCCACGCGUGCGGCGGCGCGUGGGCACUGUAGAAAAAGUAGAUGUGUUCCGAUGAGAUCCUUAGGUUGUCACGAGUGCGUAGGAUUUGGCGGAUCUCAAUUCGGACGUCGUUUGACUAUCGAACGGAUAAUCGCAUAUUAUGCGUUAUCCGGGUUCGAUAGGUUGAGACCGUCGGAUGGUCCCAAAUUUAAUAUAUGUUGAUCUAGGUAUUUCUAGGAUCGUGUAGGAUUUCACGGAUCGUGAAUCGGAGCCCCGGAUGUUCCGAAUAAUAAUUUAAAGUUUAUAUUUUAUAUUAACCAUCAGAUUAUGCGAUCGUGAGAAAUCCGACCGUCUGAUCUGAACCAAACUGGCAGGAAAAGUGUCCUGUACCUGGUAGAACCCAUAGGGACCUUCGGAUCGGAAAUUGGAGGUCGUGGGUUCCGCAAGUCUGUUUGACCAGGGUUAGAGUAGUUUGACCCUUGGUUGACCGUGAGUCUCCCGGAGUAAUCUCACCCUUCCAGGGGGAAUUAUCGGGAGCUAGACUAUUGUGGAGGGUUACACAAUAUUAGAAUUAUUUAUAUAAUUAUAUAUGGUUGUACAAGGGUACAACAAAGUCUAGAAUGUCAGUUUGGAGUGCUAUACGCACUACUUUAGGUACCUCCUCGGAUUUUGGAUUCGCUACAAGCACCACCAAGUGAAAGUUAGGUCCCGCGUGGCGUAGGUUAUCCGGCGUUGGGACAGACCCCAUACGUGGCGUUGGUUGUACCGGCGUAUGGGGAGAUUUGCAAUAUGAUGUUCAGGUCUCACGUGGCGUAGGUUAUCCGGCGUUGAGACAGGCCCCGUACGUGGCGUUGGUUGUACCAGCGUACGGGGAGAUUAUGUGAUAUGAUGUUGAGGUCCCGCGUGGCGUAGGUUAUCCGGCGUUGGGACAGGCCCCAUACGUGGCGUUGGUUGUACCGGCGUAUGGGGAGUUAUAUGAUAUGAUAGUAUGGCAUGGUCGCACAUGGCGUAGGUUAUCCGGCGUGUUGACAGGCCCCAUACGUGGCGUUGGUUGUAUCGGCGUAUGGGGAGAAUAUGUGAAAUGCAGAGAAAGGAAAUAAGGUAUCACCGAUGUGUGGAAUUGGGUUUUAGGGAAGAACUACGUGUGGCUUGAUCCCUCAAGGAGGGUACGUAGGCAGCCUAAGGUUAUUGGGUGCAGCCGCAGACUAAAUAUUAGUCAUAUUUGGUAUUUGAAUUGUAUGGUAGUUGUUUGAGAAUUAUUGGAAGGCCAAAGGCCAUUUAUGAGAAUUUGCAUGAAAUUAUAUUGUGCAUGCUGCUAGUUGUGGAUAUUAAAUGUGUUUUUAUGCAGGUUGAAAUUUUGGGAAAUGUCCAAUUUAUAGGGGAGACUCUGCUGAAAUUUCGGCAGGAAGUCUCGGUUUUUAGUAAGUGGGCCUGGCAUCGGGGUGAUGUCAGGAAUUCCAAAGGGUUCGUCUCGGGUUUUGAGAAAAUUCGGGGCGGGUCCUUAAACAUAUAUAAUUAUUGGGACUAUGUAUUGCAAGUCAUCAUGUGUUCCUUCUGUCUAACAUUAUAUUUUGCAAAUAUCAAAAUAUUAUUCAAUAAGCAGUCAAUAUCACAGCAAGUUGGGAAUUAGUAAAGCCCCAUUAUCAUGUCCGUUCACAUUAAAGAGCUGGCGUACUUUUUCUCAAAAAACUGACACGUGAGUCAUAAGUAACAUAACAUGUGCUAUACAUUGUUUAGUGAAUGGUUUAUGGUUUAUUUAUAUAUAAUAAAAUUCCAAAUAUUGCUGAAUAUUUGUUUUUUCUAUAUCCCUGGGAACAUGAGUGACCAUAAGCAUGUAAGACCUGUUAAGAAGAAGCUGACUAAUACGACCGAGUGAUUGUGGCUACCGUUGUUUAGUUGGUUGGGGAGAUCGUGGUAUUGCUAAGAGGGAGCACAUAAUGUGCUUUGCAAUCAAAUUUUCUUUUGUGUGUGGAAUUAUGAGUAGUUCAAAUGUUAGUGUACCCUUUAAUAUUCUUCAACCGUUUGAAAUGUGAUUAGCUGCAAUGUACUUUUUUACACGCUGCUUUCUAAUCACUCUGUUCCAACAAAGUGCUUUAAGUAUCCUUCAGUUACAAAUGUUUACAAAAUCGUGCAUCUAAUAACCAGUCGAGCUCAGAUCUUAAUAACAAGUAAAACACUAGAACAUAACAUUCGGAAAAAGUGGGUGCUGCUGGAAAUCAUUACUGGUAAUGGAAGCAAGAGCUGGCUGCUGGAAAUGCUGCAUUAGCCUGUGAUAUAAUCAAUGAAUCUCUGUUAAAACAUAAUUCACCAUAAACUACCCAUUUUACAUGGUAAAAGUCAUUGCUUCUUCACAUAACUCAAAAUUUGAUACUUUAUCAAAUGUCUAUGAAAAUUUCUAAAUAGGGGAAAGACGUAAAAUUAACAUGUGUCCAAAUUUCAUGCAAGAAUGAAACCAAGCAAAUUUUUAUUUCAAUUAUCAGUGGACAUAGUAAGAACUCAUCGGUGGACAUGAACAAAAAAAUAAUAAUAUUAAAAACUGAAUCUAGAAAACUUCACCUGAUCAUUAGUCUUCAUAACAACCGAAUUUCGUCUAAUAGAAACAUAAAUCAUUCAGUUGGUCCGUGCAUCGUGUCAAAUUCAUAGAAUAAUGGGUCACUACGAUCUAUUGGAGUUGAUUCGUCAUUGUUCGACGGUGAUGUCCUGCAUAGACAUCAAACACAAGCACAGAAAAAAUUUACCUAUUCAAAUUUUAGGUGUUAUUAUAAAUAGUGUUAGCAUCUUACGGUGUGUUCAAAUUUCUUGCGCAUUGUCUUCUAUCAUGACCAAUGUGUCCACACUCCAGACAGUGUCUAAUCCCUCGCUUCAUUGCCUUUUCUUUUGCUCCCGUUACUCGUUUCGACCUUCUUUUGCACCUCACUCUCUUAGGGUCUUUCAUAUAUUGUGUUUGAGAGCUGGACCCUCCAACUUCGUUAUUACUUGGUCCAUCCUUCAACAACUUCAACUUCACCUGCAAACUUUUUAGAGUCUCUGACAGUAGCUCACAUCCUUCUUCACUCAUUAAUGCACCCUCAACCACAUCUUAAGCAAGUCGAGACAUUGUACUCCGCCUUAUUAAAAGACCAGGAUCUGCAGAGUCUUUAAUUUCGUUGCCAUUUGCAUCUGACACCAAUUCAGAUUUUGCAGUUUUCUUCCACCUCUUUAAAAUAUAUUUAUCGGGCAUAUAUUCAAUCUGGUCCCUUCUGAACAAUGCUAGGAUGUGCUUGCAAAUAAUUCCAACAAAUUCAAAUCUUUUGCACCCACACGAUGCGUGGUCAGAAUCUUUAACAUAUACGACGUCUGCCACUCUUGUUUCCCAAUUUUUCCUUUUGCUCACGCGAAAGACAACUUUAGAAGCACCCUCUGUUUUGAGCUCUAGGAAACAUGUUGUACUUUGUAUUAGUUCUUGGUCAAACUUUUGAAACAUUGUCCUUGUGUACAAGGUAGCCAUUUGUUUGUUCAUUGGCAUCGGUAGAAUACAUUGAGCCACUUCAAAUGCAUCUACGUGAUCAGCAACUAACUCUUUUUGACGUUGAUGAGAAAGUGCCCUCUCAAAUCGUAUUAUGAAAUCCAUCAACGAAUUUCUCCUUGAUAUGUAUUGCUUGAAAAAACCAUGAGAACCUUCCACUCUUUGGCUGCUUGACAUUCCAGCGGCAAAAAAUUGUUGUGCGUAGGCUGGAACCCAAGAUUCUCUUAAAUCAAACAUUGAACUUAGCCAUGGAUGGUCAGUCAAACCAGCCUUUGUAACCACAAUAUUCCAUUUUGUAACAAACUUAUCCUUAUUGUCAGUAUCCCAUACGGCUUUCUGAAAUUCACGCCAAUACUCCUUAUAAGCAGAAUGUGGUAACUUAACAGAGAACUUUGAUGUGAUGUGCAAUAUGCAAAGUCGAUGAAAUGUAGUCGGGAAGGGUAUUGAAAUCGCUCUGGUCAUUGCCGCAUCUUGAUCUGUAAUGAUCGUUUUAGGUCCGCCACUUGGCAUGGCUUUCUUAAACUCCUCAAACAUCCAAAUAAACGACUCAGUCGUUUCCUUGCUCAAAAAUGCGCAUGCUUAGACAAUUGUCUGACCAUGGUUAUUAACUCCCAACAUUGGUGCAAAUGUCAAGUCGUAUCGAUUCGUGUUGAAUGUGGUAUCGAAUACAACAACAUCUCCAUAAAACCCGUACGCCCAUCUAGAAGUUGCAUCUGCCCAAAAACAUUGACUAAACCUGUCAUGGCCAUCUCUCUCAAUCUUGAAAUAAAAAGCCUCAUUUUUUUUUUCUGUUCAGCCAUAAAAUACUCGGUCACUAGUUCAACAUCGUGGUUCCUCAACUUCCCAUUCACACUACAUUCAAAAUUGUAGAUAUCUUUUUUGAUAAAACCGAUUUUAUCCAUUCCUCCGGAUUGCACCUCGAAAAUACUUACCUUCUGAUGAAUGAGAAUAUUAACCGAACCCAACUGUUUUGUGAGUACUUUUGUAGAAUCUGAACUAUGACGGUGUGAUCUCAAUAAAUGCAUUCUUUCUGAGGGUGUCAUCUUAUGAUUGUGUCCCUCUGCAAAAAGAGAGAUGGUAUACUUCUUGCUCCCAUUUGUCUUCACAACCACAAUCUUAGCUUUGCAAUUGCAUCUACUUAUUCCCCGCUGUCUUUUUCUCUCCCGAGUUUCAUCUCUCCUGUAUUCACCUUGUUUGCAACAUACAAAUUCUUUCCUCAAAAUCUCUUUCUUAUUUCCCCCCCAAAAGCUGGAAUGAAGUCGAAUACCAAAGCCAGCCAAGAAUGCAUAUCUAUUAUAGAAAUUGUAAACGAGGUCAAGCAAGUCGAACUUCAUCCCAACUGCUGGUGUUUCCUCAUUUCUUACUUCAAGAAUGUAAACCCUCCCAUUAGCUGUUACACAGUCAUCACUCUCUGAGCCCCCAGACAUUUUAUCCACGUAUAUUAUUGAUCCACUUCUAUAUUAUUGCAUAGCAAAUAUUAAUUCAUUAAUAAAUCAUUACUGCAUCACAACAUAUCAAUGCAUUCCACUUACACAAAACAUUGCCCAAAUUGACACAAAACACGCAUAGCCUAACUUGUUGGAUUCCGAUUACACAAAACGCAAGCAAAAUUUAAUAAUAGUUACGUCAUCUCUUGUGAAAUAAUCUAGAAAAAAUAACAUUAGAACCAACAUGUUCAACUAAGAACACAAAUGCAAUUCAAACCAGCAAUCACAUAACUUCACCCAAUAUCCUCUCCAAAUGCUUACUCCUAAUGUCAUUAAGCCUAAGUUUAGGAUCUUUUACCUACAUUUCAUAAUUUUUCACCCCCACCAAAAAUAAUCAACUAAGUAUACUGAAUAUUCAUAAGGAAAUGACGCAUUAUUGAUGCCACAAAUGACGAAUUUCCUACCCUCACAAAAAACAAAUCAAACCCAAUUAAAUCAAUCCAGCAAGAGUGAACUUACCUCUCAAAAUCAAUCGGGAGCUCCGAAGUCAGUAAGCUUGAGAGAAUGUGGUGGACAUUAGAGAAGACUCUUUGGUAUUGGAGACUCCAUCUCUACCAAAAUCGAGGAACGAACUGCUGCUACGGCGUCUAGCUACAGAAAAAGAUAUGCUACUUUACUUUCAUCUGGAAUCUUGUUUGCUGAACGAAAAAGAGAAAGGGUUUUCACUUGAGCCAUAGAAUCAAAACAAGGCAACAUCUAGGUAAGAGCCAUUAAUCGUCAUAUCGAGGAUACCAUAGAUCGCAGGCCUCCCAAGGAGCUGAUGACAAUGGAGCGACUAUAGGGUUUGGGAGCUUUGGAUCCUUCUAAUUGUGGGUUUGCGUUACAUUCAAAAAAAGAGGAGUGUGUUGUUGAGUUUUUCACAUAGAGGGAAAGAGGGAAAGAUCUUCAACUGAAGUUGGGUUUCCAACGGGUCAAAUUUCAACCCGGUUCUACAUGCACCCUCUUUUAAAAACUCACCGUUGGAUUUCAUCCAACGGCUCGUACAUACCCCUCAAAAACACCCCUUAUAACUUUCCACUCACUAUAGAAGCUCUCCCCAGGAAAUGCUUCGAGGUAGAUUUUAUGUUUUGGGCCUUGGGACCCAACUUCACAAAAAGAAAACAAAUUUGACCAAAAAACAAAGUUGAAGGACAUUGAUAUUGUACCUGUAGGAUAGGUUAAAACACUAAAAGGAAGGUAAAUAGUACGUUUACAGAGUUUAAGUGUAAUAAAGGAAUAAAAACAUGCCCAGAGAAUUGAUAAGUGAUAUCAAUUCUUGAAUAUAUAGAACGUAAAAUAAAGGAAUACGUAGAAAAUUAUUUUAUGUGGUAAAACUCAAUCUAUGGGGCCACGGGACUUCUUAGUCCAAAAAAAAUCCAUUGAACGAUGAUUACAAGAAGUACUCACACACUUAUCCUAGACACAUUCUAGAUAAUUUUUACUAACAUCUUUGUAACUCAACUUCUGUCAUAGGAUGAUUUUUUGACACUCCUUAUGUUGAACGCAAUACUGGUCACGAUUUCUUCAAGCUCGCAGGAACUCUCCUUAUAUUGAAUAUGAUACUAGUCACGAUAGAUUCAAGCUCAUCGGAGAAAAACAGCCACAACGGUCUUGGUGCCCUCAAUGGUAUGAGUCACUGAACAUGCAAAUAAAUACAAUAUGAAUGAUAAAAGUGUUUGAUAAAUCACCAAGUUAUGGAACACUUGAUGAUUUAUCUCAAAUAAAAACUCAGCUUUCCAAAGUUUAUGAAUUGAAAAUAUGAUCGUUAAAGCUCUCUAAACAAAGAAGACGAAGAUCUUAUUUUAUAGAAUUUUUCUUUAUAAGAAAGAAAACACAUUGAAAACCAAAUCUCCAAGGCUUGACAGAAAAUCACAAAAGUAUCUUUCCUAUUCUAGAGAUUGGUCACAUGUAGUCCAACCAAUAGGACAUGAGAUAUUUAAGAAAUGAAGAUUUUGAUCAAUAUCAAUAUCAAAUGAAUUCUUAUACGCCUAGUCAACUAUUAAGGGUAUCUUGACUCCUUGAUAUUGUGAUAUGAUUGAAACAUGAUUUCCACGUUAGAAAAUUAAGGGGAUGUUAAAACAUGAAAGUAAUAGGAGAAUCAAAUUGAUUUCGGCCAAAAUUGCCUAAAAAGAAAACACUCCUAAAUAAACUCAAUUCACUUUUAAAAACAGUAAAACGUGAUUGAAUUGUUCUUUAAAACAAUUCCCUAAUAUACAUGCAUGAUAAUGACAUCACUUACCUCUGAAUCAAAUGCCUUUCAUAGGUCAAGCCACAAGUCUGUGUUUUGGGGAUUGCUGAGCUGCAUCAAUCCUGCCAAUGUCAAUGCUGCCCCUAUGCUCUCUCAAAGCACGUUUACAACCUAUGCUAACAUAUACCCUAAACCCUAGUAUCAAGAAAAUGCCAACACUAAUUUCGUAACACGUAGAAAUUGUUAGAGAUUGGAAGUUUUUUUUCUUCAAGUCUCUCCACCACUCACUAAUACAGAUUGCUCAUGUGAUGAGUUUACAAAACCUAUUUCUCUACUCUCACAAAGACUAUACUUCUUCUCAAAAGACUAUAUCACUUUACCUCUAUCUCUGUGAAAUGUAAAAAGUUGAAACUUUAAUGUCAAACCUCGACAAAAGAUGAACUUCCAUAAGUUACGUUGAAUUUGGAUUUGUUGAACUUAAGUGGUUUUACUUUUCUGUCAGUGUUUGAUGACUUAAUUUGGUAUUUACUUCUUCUUUUUUUCCUUGGAAAUGUGUUCCACCAACGUGAGGAAGAAAAAUAUGCACAAAUUAAUAUAUUUAAUAGAAGCCCAAGAUUUCGGAAGCACAUAAUUUCUACAAAAUUCUACAAAGUGUUCUACUUUACAAACUUCAUAUGUCUACCAAUUUUUACUAAAAUUAAUUUAUCUGCAGUGCUCAAAUUCAUCAUAUGUGUGUCCUUAAUUUUAGUGAAAAUUGGAAGUUUCCAUUAUUUUUGUUUUACGGGAAUUUUUUGAACCAAGGAAAAUCAAGUAAAAUUAAUAAAGCAUAAAUUGGAAAGGGAAAAUAUCUAGAGGAUGCAUUGUAGGAUUGCUCAUGCCAAUAAUUGUACCCUCUAAAUAUAUAGGGACAUAUUUUUUUUGCUCAUACCACUUGUUGCAGUACACAUUCACCCGUUUUCAAAGAAAGAAAUUCUACCAAUCGAUAAUGUCUCAAAUUUAAUCACAUAUUUUAUGGACCAUCCAGCUAUGAGGUUUUAUCUCAAAAACCUUCGGUACAUUUCUCCCACAUGCCACAAUUGUAUAUUCACAAUUACGUCUGAUACAUCACAUCAUGCCACUUGCCUCAAAUGAAUUUAAGUGAGUGAGGCAGUUGGAAGUAAUUAAGCUCUAUAUUGGUGGGUGGAGUGUUAGUUCUGGGUACCCCUCAUCAUUCGUCUAUAAAAUGGUGAAGCCAGUUGCUACUGUUACCAUAAGAGCCAGCUCCGACUUUCUUUAAUUUCUUGCUUCAUAUCCACUAGCUACAUCUGUUGCUCUUCUCAGUGUAAGCUCUGCAAUUUGAUUAACUUUCCCAUUAUCUCUCACUGUACUCUAUAUAAAGGAAUAAGUGUCGUCCAUUAAUUCUCUCCGAAAGUGUCGUCCUGAUUUUAAUUAGAGUUCGAAUUAAUGUUGCAGCUAGCAGCGGUUGCACUGGCAAACCAUGCUGCUCAACCGGUACCUCAACUUUACUGGAACUCCGUCCUGCCAAACACACAGAUGCCAAGAUCUAUCAGUGAACUUCUGCAUCCUGGUUUGUGUUUGAGCACUUUAGAAUCUUAGAUAUCUCUUCUACCUGCCAUUUUACUAAAAUAUGUUCAACCACAUAUUUAUCAGUUAACUACUGUCAUUACAUGAGUGACACAUAUUCACAAAUCGGCUGAUCACUUAUUUUCCAUUAUGACGUUGAUAUAUAAUGUUGGGAAUGGAAAGCCAAUUGACCACAAGGGAAAACCUGAAAAUACUGUACUACCACAGCUAGCACGAAGCCCAUUUUCUUACAAGAGUGAUGUGGGGACCAAAUCUCAUGUAUCAUAGCUUAACCCAUAUGCCACAACUAAAAGACGUGGGAUGAUCGAACAGCAUACCCACAUGGUCAUGGAUCUCUUCAGAUAAUCAAUAUUAAACAACCCAUAAACUUCUCCCUUUGAAGAACAAAUUAAAACCAAUUUCUAGAGGAAGGUUACAAAACAUUUUAGCCCGUGAAGAACAAAUCAAGACAAUAUAACCCAUUUGAUAACAAAAUCAAAAUGAGAUUUACCAAUACUAGAUGACCACGGCGCCAGUAUAAUGGUACGACGGCGGCGUUAUUGUAACGGUGGAGAAGUGGAUGGUAUGACGACGGUGUUAGUGUGACGGUGGAGGAAACGAUAUUAUGAAGGAGGCGUUGCUAUGUUCGGUGGAGGAGUCGUGUGUUUCACAGUUCAAUAUAUCCUUUUUAGUCAUUUUAUAUUAGGGUAAAUCAGUAAUUCAAUAAAUAAUUUGAUAGUAUGGUGUACUCAGUUAAUAUUAGGGUUCAUUUAACAGCACUCAAAUUAACUAGUGUAGAGUCUAUCUAUAUUAUUAAUACUAAAAAUAAAUAUAUGACUAAAUAACUCAAAAAAAAAAUAAAUCUACAAUCUUUUUUUUAAAAAAUUUUUUUUAUAGAAUUUUAUUAGAUUAAUAGGCACUACUAAAAAAUCUCCUUAUAAACUACAAAUACACGCAUAACUUAUACUAAUGUGAGCUACUGACACCACCUGCCACAUGACAGUUGUCCAAGCAUAGUGUUGUCAUUCAUUAUUCCCCACAGCAACUAACAUCCAAUAAAGGGUUGGGGCCCACCCAUACUCCACCUCUCUGUAUGUAGCUCUUUGAGAAUACAGAAGAAAUAUUUUUUAGGGAAAUAGCUUAAAAUGAUACCCAUUUCAUAAUUUUAAUUAAAAAUACCACCCCUUUCCAAUUUUUGUACAACUAUCACCUAUAAAUAUAAAAUUAUUGUCCACUUAUUGCUGAUUUUUCACAAGUUCAGAAAUUUUGGAAAGAAGAAGCUCACACAGCUCUCUCUCUCUCUCUCUCUCUCUCUCUCUCUCUCUAGCACAACUCUCUUUCUUUGGUAUCUGUCUAUCACAGCUCUCUGUGUCUCUCUUGGCUCUCUCUAUCUUGGCUCUCUCUCUCUCUAGCACAACUCUCUGUCUCUCUCUUUGCUCUCUUUCUCAUAGCGCAGCUGUUUCUCUCUCUAGCUUCGUUAUGUCUCUUUCUCCCCUAUUCGAUCUCUUGCUUUCUGUUUGGAAUCGCGAACCCCUCCCUUUAGCUAUGUCUUCUGAAUAGCUGCUUGCAACCUUGAAGCUCUAGUGGAUUGCCGACCUCGAAAAGGUAGUGUUGAUGGUUAUUUUCUUAAUAUCAGUGGGAUUAUGUGAAAUGGGUUAUAGUUUGAUUGUUUGGGUUUGUGUUAAAUUCGUUUUGGCUUUAAUUUCUUUGGGUUAGGUUUUGUUGAAUAUUCAUACUCAUUCAUCUGGGUUUGUACCAAUUGCAUUUAGAUUGGUCUGGAUAUGUGAAUCUUGAAACUUGGGAUUUUCUAUUUGAUGUAGUAGAUCUGUAUAGUGUGAUUCUGUUGUGUUCCUCUUAUUUUACAGUCGUAUUGCUGUUAUAUUGUCAUUAUAUUGCUUAUAUAUUGCUGUUAUAUUGUGGUUAUAUUGCUAUUGUAUUGUUUGGUUAUUGUGGUUAUAUUGUGUUAAUGAAAUGUUGUUUUGUCAUGGUCAGAAAUGGAGACAAUUGUUAUUCUCGUGUGCUACAAUGGAAAAUGGGUCACCUCGAAGAAGAUGUGCAAAUACGAAGGGGGUGACUCAAAAGGCUUAAUAGUUCCACGGACCAUCAAAUUUGUUGAACUGUUGGACCGUGUGCAUUAGAUUGGUAAUACAAACAGCAGGGAAGACAAGGUUUGCUUAAAAUUCUCAGUUUUGGUGGCCUCGAAUGAGUGGAAGCACAUAAAUAUUGAGGACGAUGAUGAUAUCAAUUUUUUUAUGAAGUACAAUUCCGAGGUAACACCUUCAAAACUAGCUCCCUUACUCGUGAGUAUAGAAGAUAAAGGAUUGACAAAUGAUGUAGUUCAUAGUAUGCAUAUCACGACAGAUAGUAGUCGGAUGGGUCAUUCUUCAGUUGCCAUUGUUGAAAGCAAUGAAGUAACUUGGAAUAAUACGAAUGUCACUGAUGUGGGAGGUGAAGUAGGGACAGAUUUUGUGGAUAUGAUUGAUUUUAGCGAGGUGUAGGAGAUGCAUGGUGGUGAUAAUAGUACUGAAAGAAAUGAAGUGUCAGUGUACUCUGCCCCUCCUAAUUUGGGCUGCUUCAACAUAGCUGCCCAGUUGCCAAUAAUGCGUUUAGGAGGAGAAUCUGAACCCACUCGUCAACAUUAUUGGAGUCAAAUAGGUGAACAAAAUCGGUACAAUGCAGCCGGUGUAAAUGAUGAAGAAGCAUAUUUGGACAGCGGGUUUUCACGAAGUGAUUGGAAUCCGAAAAUUACAGUUGGGCAAAUUUUCUCUAGUAAGAAAGCAUUGUUGACGGAGUUACGGUUGACGGCAUUAAGAGGCCACUUUGAAUUUAAGGUGCAAUUCUCUUGCACUAAAAGGUUGCUUGUGGUUUGUUGUCAACGUCCAUGCCCAUGGCGGGUCCGAGCAUCGAGAAUUGGAGAAUACAGCUUCAUGAUUGUGAGGUGUACAACUGUCCAUGAAUGUGAUUUGAGGUUCGUAAGUGACAAGCAUCGUCAAGCAACCGCAGCACUUGUAGCCACUUCACUUAAAAGGAAGUGACAUUAUGAGAGAUGUGAAACACAACUUUGGUUGCACCAUCCAUUAUUCGAAAGCUUGGAAAGCAAAGGAGUUAGCUCUAUUGUCCAUUAGAGGAUCAGCGGAGGAGGCAUAUUAUAUCCUUCCAGCUUAUUGCUAUGAAUUGGAGCGUAUGAAUCCCGGCACAAAAACACACAUCCAAACUGAUGAGAACAAUCACUUUGUGUAUUUAUUUAUGGCGGUUGGCGCAUGUAUUAGAGGGUUCCGUUCUUCCAUGCGCCCAGUGAUAGCCGUGGAUGCCACUCAUUUAAAAUCCAAGUACAAGGGUGUUAUGUUUGUAGCAAAUGCAUUCGAUGGUAAUUGAAAUAUAUAUCCUCUUGCUUUUGGGAUCGGGGAUUUGGAGACGGAUGCAUCAUGGCAUUGGUUUUUCACUAAACUUCAUGAAGCCAUUGGUGAGUGUCCCAAUCUUGUUAUUAUUUCUGAUCGCAAUGUUAGCAUAGAGAAUGUGUGGAACAAAAUUUUUCCAACUGCACAACGUGGCAUAUGCUUUUAUCAUAUGAAGGGGAACAUGAAACGCACUUGCUAGUUGAAAAAGCGUGAUCACAUACUUAUGCACUUUGAGCAGGCUGCGAAAUCUUAUUCCAUUGCUGAAUUUGAUUGUCAUUUUUGCAAGAUCAAGCGAAAGGAACAUGUUGCUCAAUAUCUUGAAGAGACAGGGUUACAUAAGUGGUCUAGAGCUCACAUGGAUGGACGCCGCUACAAUGUAAUGACAACAAAUAUUGCAGAGUCAAUCAACUCAGUCCUUAGGUUUGCAAGGAUGCUGCCAGUGGUUCAUUUGAUAGGGGAAAUUGUUAAUCUCCUUGUGAAAUGGUUCACCGAACGUUGUGAGUUGGUUUUGAAUUGCACAACAACAUUGUGCCCCAAUUUUGGAGAGAAGAAGUUGAGGAACAGGUUGGAGGAUGCUGCAAGGAUGAAUGUGGUUAAAGUAAAUAAUGCACAGUUUAAUGUUUUGGACGGUGAUAUGGACGGCCUCGUAGAUUUGGCGAACAGCAGUUGUAGUUGUAGAAAGUUUCAGCUUGAGCAGCUACCUUGCAAGCAUGUAGUUGCAGUUUGCCGCUUCUUGAAAGUAAAUGUAUACGCAAAGGCUUCUCGGUAUUACACUCAGAAAACCUGGAUGAUGCUUAUUCGGAUAGCAUCUACCCGGCACAACCUCACGGAAUGUGGGAUAUUCCUGAAGAUGUUCGAAGUCGAGUUGUGCUGCCUCCCAUGGCAAGGGUCAUGCCAGGCAGACGAAAGAAGAUCAGAAUUCCCUCGCAAGGAGAGGGCACCAUUAGAAGAAAGUGCUCAAGGUGCGGUUCCGCAGGCCACAAUAAAAGCACAUGUAAAAACAAUAUUCCAUUGCGCAAUGUAUCUUAGACAAUAUGAUUUGUGUUGCUUUGGUAGGUCAUGUAAACUCUACUUUUAUUUGUGGUGGGUUUCGUGUUAUGUUGAAUGGGAAUUCUUUUAAAUUUGCAUAAUUUGGGUUGCAUUGCUACAGCAUGCUGUAUUGCUGACAGAUUGCUAUUAUAUUGGACUUUUAUUGUACUGGUAUUGCUUCCAGAUUGCUAUUAUAAUUUGAGUGCGAAAUUAAAGGGACUGGAAUGUAAUUCCAAAUGGAUCCAAAUCAUUAAAGUUCUUAGAAUUCCUAUAUUACACAGUUACUGUGAUACUCCGACUAUACCUUCUUUUAUGAUUACAAAUUCGGCCAAUGCAUAGGCCAGAUGUGGGGCAAAUACAAGGUGAAAUGUCCUAUGUGUUUGACUACAUAUACUUGUUGAAGGAGCAUUACGAAUGCUAACCUCAAUAGAUUGCUCAUGUCUUGCCAAGAACACUCUUGAAUUUAUGCAAUGUGCCCAAGCCAGUCCCAAAGCUGGACUCACCCGUCUGCCUGAUGUGUCCAGGGACUCCAAGUUUCCCAACCUCACCUCAUUCACUUUAUCAUGUGGCCCAAUAAAAUCCACCACUUGGUUGGUGACAACCACCGCCAACCCAAACUUAUUUGCUAAACCCUUCAAUGUCCCAGAUAUGUUGAAAAAUAUUUCAAACCGCCAUUUCAAAUCUGCUGGUGUUGUCUGAUACUGUGAUCGGAACAAUGCAGCAAUGGAAUCAAUGACAAUGAGUUUCACAGGUAGGUGGGUGUGAUCAAUGGCAAUAAAUGCUUCUAUGUCUCCAAGGACAUGGAUGAGUUGUUGAGCAUCAUGAACACCAUGAACAUAUAUGUCUUCCAAUGGCUCCAACCUUAUUAAGUUGGGGUAUGAUGCAUGAUAAAGGUUGCCUAGUUGUUGCAAUCGACGAAAUGGGAAGCUGAAUUCUGUGAAUAUGUAGACGGUGGAGCCCUCUAGUCCGCCAUGUGAGGGUGGGAGCUGAGCUGGUACCGUAAGUUGGAGACAAAGUUGCGUCUUCCCAGAACCACUCUCCCCUACCAAUUCUGUUAUAGAGUUGCAGGGUAUCCCACCCCCCAAGCAGUCAUCUAGUAUUGGGCAUCCAAUGGAUAAUUGAGGGGUUGAAAGAGGAAGGAGCAUGAGGUUUUAGGGUGUCAUAUUUGUGUAAUUUAGGGGGGGAUGUGAUGGUGCUACAAGGCAUGCAUUAUAUAUAUAUAUAUAUGUAGAGUUCAUUUUGAAGGUCUGUAUUGUAGGCCAUAUGUCUUUUAAGGGAUGUAUAAUCCAUCCUUUUUUCAGGUUGUAAUUAAUUUUUUGUUUAUUUAUUAGUAUUUUUUUGGACCAAAUAAUUUAAAAAACAUUAUGAUGCAGUACGUACUGUAAUAGGAUCAUAUUGUAACUCUAUCAUCACUCUAUUGUACUCUUAUUGACAUAAUAUUGCCGUUAUAUGCAUGUUUAUUAUAUAGUUAUUACUGCUAUAUCGCCACUGAACUGGACACCGAUAAACUGUAUACGCACAAAUACAAAAAGAGGCUUCAUCAUUCCAUAAAAUCCUAUUUCCAAACUUACAUAAUACAACAACAGGCCACCCCAUCGUUACAUAAUACAAAAAUACGCCACCUCAUAGUUCCAUUUCCCUACUGUUGACAAAUUCGAAGUUGCAUACUCUUCAAGUGCGGUGACCGCGACGCAUGAAAUUCAUGACCCCGGCCACAGUGAUGUUGGCCUAGUUUCCUGCCGGAUCCACUAUUUUUGCAAACUUACGAAAUAGUUCGAAUCCGCUUUCCACUUCUUCUUGCUUCAACUUGGCCGUUGCUUCUGAUUCCUUGAAUACCAUAAUUGCAGUGGUAGGGGCAAUUUCAAUUUUUGCUUUCAUUGUCUUUAUAUGUAGGAGAUGCAUGCGCGCAUGAUAACGAGAGCGAAUUGUGCGGUUUUUUAUGACACCCCAUCUAGUUUGGCCCUCCACAAUUUUGAAACUAUGUCUGCAUGAAGAUUUUUCCAAAACAUGGUAUUGCCUCGACAUUGCUGCAUGCCAUGGACCAAGUCUGCAGGGAGUGAAUUGGGUGACUUGGCUUGUGUUUCAGUCUUCUCUCCUUCAGUAAUUGAAAGUGUUGGGUGUGGUGUGAGGUUAUGGUCCAUGGUCUUCGAUAUUUAUUGUAGCCUAGUGUACAACUUAAUUGGAAAAAAAGGGGACUAAAUGCGAUGGGAGUGAAAUCAGUGGGGAAGGUAGUGGCUGUAAGCAGGAGUUAAUGUGAUGGAAGUUUUCAUUUCAAACAACUGGGUUGAUUAAUAUAGGCAAGUUUUAAUGACCUGGAGUAACUCAGAGAGUUAUUGGUGGGAGGGAUUAGAGGGAGUAAUUGGCGGGAGGGAUUGGCGGGAGUCUUAGGCGGGAUAGUAUUGGGCGGGAGUUAUUACCCAGUUGACUGUAUGCCUUUUUGUAAUAUAUUUGUAUGUUGGACGUUCCAAACUUGGUAAUUUUCCCAUUAUGUAAUUCAAAUAAGGGAUUUGCCUAUUUGCCUAAUUGACCAACUCAUUCAAAUUGACCAAUAUGGUUAUUGUCUUAUUUCUCAUUUCAGCAAUCUCAAUUCGUUUCCAUUUUUCCAUUCUUCAUAUUUUCCUAUUUUCCAUGUGUCAUCCAAUUUUCCAAUUUUCCAAUUUUUCAUUAUUUUUGCCUAUUUUUUCCUAUUCCCUAUUUUCCUAUUGUGCAAUUUCCCAAGUUUCCUUUUGUUGUAUUUCUAGUUUUCCAAUUUUUCAAUGUUCCCAUUUUCCCAUUAUGUAAUUUAAAAAAAGUUGCCUGCUUUGCCUAAUUCAGAAAGUAAUUAAAAUGGUCCAAUAUGGUAAUUGUCUUAUUUUCCAUUUCCACAAUUUCAAUUCGUUUCCAAUUUUCUUAUUUUCCAUGUGUCCCUAUUUCCUAUUUCCAUUUUUCAAAUUUUAAGUUUUUGUCCAAUUAUCCAAUUAUCUUUUUUCCAAUUGGACUAUUUUCUAAGUUUCCUUUUUUUCCUAUUUCCAAUUUUCCAAUUUUUCAAUUUGCUAACUUUCCUUUUGUUCUAUUUCCAAUUUUGCUAUUUUCCAAGUUGCCUUAUUUCCUAUUUUUCAAUUAUCCAGUUAUCCAAUAUUCCAAUUUUCCAAUUAUCCAAUUUUCAAUUUUCCAAUUUGCGAAUUUGCCUAUUUUCCAAGUGUCCUUUUUUCCUAUUUCCUAUUUCAAAUUUUCCAAUUUUCAUGUUUUCAGAGUUUCCUUUUUUUUUCCUAUUUUCCAAGUUUCCUUUUGUCCAAUUUCAAAUUUUCCAAUUUUCCAAGUUGCUUUAUUUUCCAAUUACCCAAAUUUCCUAUUUUCCAAGUGUCCUUUUUUCCUUUUUCCAAUUUUCCAAUUUUCCAAGUGUCAUGUAAUCCUAUUGCCUAGUUUCCUCUUUCCAAUUUUUCCUUUUUUCCUAUUUCCAAUUUUCAAUUUUCCAAAUUUCCCAAAUUUCCAACUUUCCAUUUUUUCGUAUUUCCGAUUUGCCAAUUUUCCUUUUGUUCUAUUUCCAAUUUUCCAAGUUUCCUUAUUUCCCAUUCUCCAAGUUUUCACUUUUCCUAUUUUUCAAUUUCGCUAUUUUCCAAUUUUCUGUUCUGAAAUUCGCAAUAAAUGCUUAGUUACACAGUCCUAUUUUGGGUUGAAAUCCACAAUUUUCAAUUUCCCAUUAAGGUUUGCUUUUUUGUCGUUUGGAAGCCAAUUUUAUUGUUGUUAAUGUAAUGUUGUACUGUUGUAAAUUACAGCCAAUGAGUUAAUGAUGUAGUUUGCAAUCCCAUCAAUUGAAUGCACCAACUAAAUACCCAAUAUACUUCAUAUAAGUUCGUACAUAUAACUCAACCUUCCUAUACAGAACUGCAACAGAGGCACCUUCUUAACGGGAAAGGUAAUUAGUCUUACUAAAACGCAAAUAUUCUCCACUACAGCUAACCAAUUGUCGUUUACAACUGGAGACUGAAUCUACCUUUAUUUGUUUUGUUGCAGGCAACAGCUGUGAAUUGUCCCCGGCAAUACUUAAAGAUGUCGGAUGUACGCCCUCCAAAUGAGCAUGUCACAGUUACCCGGGGGACCAGCCGUGGCAUGUGCCAUUCCCAUCUCCACCUCGGACUCCCAAUCAUGAUCCCACUUCAUCUGGAAGUGAGGCUGAGAGCAAUGAUCCGCUUGACAAAAUCUCUGCCGUCAAGCACCACCUCCAAUAUAUGUCAAAGGCAACGGAUUGGUGGGAGAGUAAGUGCGAUAUUCAUGGCCAAGUUAUGGGAAACUUGGCCAACAAGUUGAACAAAGCAUACGCUGGAGAGGUGAAGCAAACUCUAAAAGCAAAAAGUCGGAGCAAAGAGUUAGAGUCCUUGAAGUUGAAAUUGGAAGAGAGAAAGAAAAAUGCUGUCGAAAAAUUCACACAAUCUGAAGAAUAUAACCAUGAAAUGGUUGAAUGUUUCAACAACGGCUUUGAAAUGUUCCGAGAUUAUGCUUCGGUCAUCUCACCAGACUACAAUUGGAGUGAAAUUGAUGUAGCUGGUGUUUGGCAGGUGCUGAAUAUGGGUGCUGAGGGAAUGGCUCAUCAUAGCCUCGUGCAUGCAGCAAGGAGAAAGGACAAAGACUUGGAUCUUUUGAUGGACCUGUAGUAACAGUGAGUGCUGCUUCAGUUCAACUCACCUGAGUACAUGGAUCUUUUGUUGCCUUCAUUUUCCCUUCGCAGGCUAGUAUUGUUAAGGUUCGGUGGCGAUUUCUUUUGCAUGUGUAAAAUGUUGUCUGUAAUGUGUAUGUAUUGUAUGUAGAUUGACUUAAUAUUGUAGUUCUAUUGUAUGUAUAUUGCCUUAAUAUUGCCUUUGUAUAGCAUAGAUAGUGUAUGCAUAUUGCCACCGUAUUGGAUGUAUAUUGUAAAACUAUUGGUAUCGUAUUGCCCUUAUAUUGCUCUAAUAUUGCCUCUAUAGUGCACCUAUAUUGACCUAAUAUUGCUCUUAUAUCGUAUGUCAAUGGCAUGUGCUCUAAUAAGUCUCCAGUUCGUUGAAAGUAAUCCUGAAUUCAAAUAUGAUGGACAAGACAAUUGUUAUCCAUCCUUAUAUUACCAUGAAUUGAUUUGGACCUUUCAAAUGAUAGUUGGAGUUGCACAUGGAUUCAUAUUCAAAAGGAAAGUAAUUCUCUCCCUCAAUGAAUUGUCGUUCAAAAGAAGGCAGCUAUCAAAUUUUGGGUACAAAAAGGCAACAUCCACGGUAAAUUAAUUGGGCACAAACCACAUAUUACAAAACCAGGAUGAUUUUUGGCAUGCUUCAAAAGAGAAGGGCCAAAUACAACAGAAAAGAAAAUCCAUUCAAGCUUGUACAAUAGAAUGCACAAUAACCCUUUUACAUGUCCUUCCAACACCAGUGUUUUGCCUACUUUAGAGUCGCAGGAGGAGAGCUUAUUGCCAUUGUGCAAUUCGAGGGGGCAGUCAAUUUGGAAUGGUGGCAUAAACAUGUUUACUCCACGGAUCACCUAUAUGGGACAGAGCUUCCUUCUUCCCUUGUCGUCUGUAGGUUUCAACUUCACACUUUUUAUAUACAUGUAUGAGAACUUGUGGCUAUUUAUUUAUGGCCUUCUAACACUUGUUCUGCCAUUCCAAAGUGGGUUGGAGACUUUUUGAGUUGAAUGACUGGAAAGACUUCAGAUGACAGAAACUAGAGAGUUUGAAGAAAAAGGGUUACCAAGAACAGCAGUCAUGCCCACGACAUAAACUAAACAUGCUAUAAGCUCCACAGUAAUAUUUACUUCAUCUCCAUAAUCAGAAUAUUGGGAAAAAAAUACCACGGAGAAAUACGUGAAAUGAAAAACAACUCGGCAGUUACUGUGAGAUUGUGUACAUAAAACUUGGAACAACCAAACCAAUUAAAGCUAAGCCAUCUCAUACGUAUACCUACAUCAAAUAACAGUGUAUGGUCAUCUUGUUUAGAAUAUUGCAAUCAACACUUGGUUGAGACCGACCUGCAAAAACAACUGGGUUAAGUACAGAUGAAGCCAUUUAUGAAGGGCAGUUCCAGAAUUAAGACCUACGUUAAUUUGUAACUGCCACCGAAUCAGUUCAUAGUGCCAAAUGCAUCUACCAAGCACACAGAUAUGACCAGCCAAAAGAAAAAAAAGCAAAGUAAAAAAGAUAAAAGAGGCAUGCCAUAAAUGGGAACCUCAGCAGAAAUCAUCAGAUAUGCAUACAAGCAGAUUGAGUAACAUCUCACUAAGUAGAGGUCAUGUUGGUAAUCGCAUGUUGUGUUUGCACACAGACAUUUGGUUUUUGCAAACACAACAUGCAAUUGCAUUCCAUGAUGUGUGUGUUGUGUUUGCACACAGACAUUUGGUUUUUGCAAACACAACAUGCAAUUGCAUGAUGUGUGUGUUGUGUUUGCACACAGACAUAUGGUUUUUGCAAACACAACAUGCAAUUGCAUAUUGUGUGUGUUGUGUUUGCACACAGACAUAUGGUUUUUGCAAACACAACAUGCAAUUGCAUAUUGUGUGUGUUGUGUUUGCACACAGACAUUUGGUUUUUACACACACGAUAUGUAACAUUUAGUUUUACCCUUUUAUUCUUAUUUUCUUCGUUCAAACAUGGUGGUGAGAAAAGCACCAAACCAUCCCAUCAUAUAAAGCAAAACUCAUACAAUAUUUUAGAUGCAAAAGUUAUAUAUUUUAUAUAAAUGCAUCAUCCGCAUGGCUUGAAAUUACAAAUUCACGUUCACAUAUUACUUUUCACAAGCGCACAGACUAACAAUAAUAAUAAUCAACCAAGUAGUUGCGACAUUCAUCCUAUUACGUCCAUAUUGAUAAUGUCAGAAGUUUCAUCGAUAAGCCUCAUCAAACUACAAGUUUUUUAAUUUGAAUUAUGAAUUCAGAACUAAAAGCUCAUGAUAUGCAGAAAAUGACAUACAUUGUCCACAAUCGACUUUUCGAUAUAUUUCUGCUCUAGCAAUUUAUCGUCCAAAUUCUGGACUCUCUGUGUCAGGUGCUUCUUUGUGUUCUAUCCAGCAUAAGAAUAUUUAAUAGUGUGAUUUCAAUUGUUUAUACAAAUUCUAUAAGUAAUAUUGAUGAGUGCUGUAAAUCUAUUUGAUAUUGGGAACAAACAUGGUCCCACUAACAGAAACUCAAACAAAACAGGAAUUUUUUUUUAUUUUUUUUGGCAUAGACAGCCGAAAAGAAACUUACAGCAAUAGCCUCUGUCACGCUCUCCAGACGUUUAUGCAAUUUUGAAACAGCAGCAUUCAUACUACGCUUUGUCACAUACAGAAGAUCUGAGAAUUUUAGACCCUAACCAUUUGUGAAGAGCAAAUAUUAGAUUUGCUUAAAGAAGACAACAACUCACAGAACCAAUGGAUGAAAUAAUAUGAACAUAAAUAUAUCAUUUGGAUACCUUCCACCACAUGUAACCAUAACCCAAUGCCCCCAAGGUAGCUGUUGGCAUUAUUAGUGAUGUCAAACCUAUUAAAAAAAUCAAAAAAAAAAAUAUAACCAAGUAUAAAAUGUUUCUAUUGCAUUAUGAAAUACAUACGUGUAAGGAAUUAAUCGUUUUACAACUUAACCAAAAAGUCAAGGCAGGAGCAUGCAUUCAUUGAGUGGUUAUAAGCAAGAGGAAAAAGCACAAAGCAUGCUAAGAAUUCAUUUGAACACAGAAGAGAAAGUAAGCUACCUUGGAAUUUGGCUGUCAUUCCCCUUCAGGACGGCUCUCUGUAGUGACGAGUCUAGUUGUCGGACCUCAGCUGCCAGUCGGCGCACCUAAAACAAAGUAACACAGGAAAAUUGAUAUCCAUUACAAAAAACAAAAAUUGAACACGAGAAAGCAUCCUUCGACACUAAAUUUAUAGCAGUUUUUCCAAUACCUGUGAUGCGAUCGCAUAAAAGUCACCUUCUGAUUGUUCUCCGGUUCCAUUGAACAAAGGCUGCAAACAAAACAGAAAUAGACACAAAUCCAUCAAUUUUUUGAGCAACAAGACACAAGCUCCGAAAUAAAUAAACUAUCUAACUGAUCAAAACCCUAGUUUACCAAAUGCAUUACAAAAUUAAAAACUCAUACAAAAAUAACACCAAAUACAAAUGUUCUGCGAGUUCCACUAGCAAAGCAGAGUACAAAUCAUGAAAAUGGUACCUGAAGUUCACCGAUCAAUUCAGAUAAUUGACCAUUCUUACGCAGGAUGGUGCUCGUAUACCCUGUAGAAAGAGAACAAUCACUCAGAUCAAAUGUAGCUAAAUACACAAGGAAACUAAUCCAGUAUGCAAGAUGAAAGAGGAGUGAUUGGUACCUACUCCAGCGAAGAUCAGCAAACACAGUAUGAGGUUCCAAAUUCAAAUAACAACAUAAUGCUAAGCAGAGAAGUAGAAUUGCUGCCGAAAUUAUUUAAAACGAACUAAGUCAAAACUAAAUGGAGAAAUGUUAACAAAGUUGUAUGCUUCAGUAAGUCCAGUAACAGAUUCCCAAAACCACAGAGACAAAAUGUGAACAAUGGCUACAAAAGCAUCCAUAAAGAGCAACUAUGUUUAUAUAUGGAGGUGUACAAAAUAGUUAACCUUCAAAAUCGAAACAGUGUGUGUGCCAUGUAAGGCAAUUAGCCACUGCUUCUAGACUAUACAAUAUUACACCUCACAAUAAUAACUAAACCAACUAGCUCUAGCAAAAAGGCAGGAUGACCAUAUAAAGUACCCCCAGCAAAGCAUCUACGUCUGCAUCUUCAUAUCAAGGAGUUCCUGACAUAAGUAAUGAGCAAAGUGAAUUCCCAAGUCAUAAGUCCAGAAUGAGGUGAAUUCACGGACAUUAAAACAUUUACCUCAUAAAUAUGCCUCCCCCCUUAAACCCUCAAUUGCAAGCCUCAGCCGGUAAUAUUUGAUCUUCAAAGGGUCAACUUUAUCUACCGAAAUCCCAGCACUGAGAUGCUCGAUGAAUUUGACGGUCAUGAUUCCGCAAGACGUACUGUGAGACCAAUAAGUUGGGAAAUUAGAACUGCAGUUAUGUAAGAUUUGGAUAAACUGCACUAAAUUCACAAAGCUUACCCAUCUCGUUGUUGUGGCACAUCUGCAAUGCUGCAAACUGAGAAUGGCGUAAACGUCAACAUCUUCAGCCCCUUUUGCUUAACCUUUUCAACCUCAGAAUCUUCAUAAAAGUGCAUAUCGUACAGCACUCGUGCCAGCGUAUCGCUAAUAGGGUGCAGAAGUGUAACCAGCUUCGAACAUUUGGUAAAAGCAACAUAUGAGUCAUACACAGUUGCAGUAUGUCAGACGAAAUCAAUUUCGAUUGCAACCCAGUAAGACCCUUUAAGAUUAUAUGGAAUAUAGACCUUCCGGACUUUUGUCCAAGCUUGGCCAUACCCGUGUUGCCACGUACCGCGUACAAAGUAAUGUAUAUUCUGCAGCUUGCUGGGUGGAAGGUCAACGGUGUUUGAAGCAACUGCCUUCUUCGAUCCACGUUUCUUGGCAGUCGGUUUGAACGGAUCUAGAAAUUGCUGCAUAAAUUGAAAUGAAGGCAUAUUAGAAAAUCACAACCGAAAGCAAAUGAAGCAGCGAAUGUAACAUGGUAACAUGUUUACCUGCAAGCAACAAUCUGCUGUUGUCCAGUCAGUUCCAAAUACCAACGGAUGAGAGAGUUGCCUUUUCCAGAUAAGAAAGGUUGCCAUGUCCAGGUGCUGAAAGUUGACACACAUAAUAUCAGCACAAUUUCAUACAACUGUACACUUAAAAAAGGUGAGAAAACAAUUUAAUUAUCGCAAUAAAGUAGAGCUUUGUGUAUUCUUACCCUUGAGCUAAUCCAUUCCGUUUCAUCGAUAAGUCUGUAGAAAAAAUCAGCGCCCACUGAAAAUAAUUCCAGCUGCACCUCCGCACUACAAAAGGCAAACUUGCAAUGGUUACUUUUAUAGUCAUCUCAUAAUUCUGACUUUGUUGAUGACAAAAAUACACAUGUAUAUUAAAGCAAACUCUACGUUUUCUCAUUAGUCUAUGACUACAUACUAGAAUAGGAUGAAGAUUGGAAUUCAAAGGUAAAGAAUCCUAACCUGAUAUCGUUUUUCCAGGCAGUACAAAACUCUAUUACUGCCUUCACAUCUUCAAUGGGCACGGAUUUUGAUGGAUCAAAACAUGGCGGGGUUGCAGUCGCAGCCAACACACUCAUCGUCCUCUUCUUCCUCAAAGGAUCAGUAAAUGGGCUCAACAAUGUCUGCGCCGGGCGCUUCUGUCUGCACCCUUUACCUUCCACUUCUUUUUUUUCCACACUCGAACUACCUUCUUCAUCACCAGCCAUACUAACUGUGGGUAGACUUGGAGGAUUCAUCGGACCUCCCGAUGGCAUACUCUUAGUCACUUUCCAAUCUUCUAACAGAGACAACACUUUUUGGCAGAUUUCGUCACACCCGGCCACAUCUUCCGGGGUAGGCAGCUUCUCGGAUUGUGCCUGCUCAGCUGCUUCAUGCACUUGUAAGUGAGGAACUGAAGCGGCCAUUUCUGCCUCUUCGACUACCAUGGCUGCGGAAGGUUCGGCUCCAUCACCGGGAACUUGUGUUUCCAUUACCGCCGGUUCUGUAGGCGGACUAACAUGGUCAUGUAAUGGCGACAAGUGAUUGUCGCCUCCUUCAUUCAUAUGAGGACUACUGAGGUCCUCAUGUCCUUUCCCACCUUCAUUCACCCCACCAUUUCGUUUUUUCAGCUGCUCUAUCUCCACAUUAAAAUAAUGCUCCAUUAAAGCCAGGGUGUUGCGGAAAUCCUCCACACACUUUUUAUUUUUUUCGAACUCUCUUUCAACUUUCAAUGACUCCUUCCGUACCAUGUCUUCCAACUGAUGCACUCUGUUGCGAAGCGCUCGAUUUGAUAUGGCAACUUUGGCCAAUUCAUCCUUUGUCCUUUGAAAGUCACGCUUCAAAGUGCGUAACUCUCUGGACGCGACUGUACCCUGCAUUCAGUUAUAAUGCAAGUGUUACAAUAUUUUCAAAAUAUAUUGCAACAAUACAGCAGUUAUUUUCCUAUUGUAUUAUGACGUAUAUCUUGGAAAAAAAUGUAAUGCUUGCCUUAGAAGACGACGGAAGGCUAGCAGUUUCGUCAAUGUCCUUAUCUUUUUCUUCUACAGAGGCAGAAGUGCUGGUUUUUUGUUCAGCGUCAUCGCCAAACAACUGAACAAGUUCUUCAGUGUCGUCAACACUGUCACCCCAAGUCCAAUACGGCUGCUGCUUGUCGAUUACAGAUGGCCGGAGAAGUUGCACAUCAACCUGCAAUUUACACAUACAAUAUACAUAUCAGUAAACUUAUUAUAUUAUAUUUUCAUAUGCCUAACAUUAUCAUUAAAAACUUAACUAACCUCACGGUUCUCGAAUACUUGGCUCAUUAGCUCAUAAAAACACGGCGAACUAUUGCUCCUCCAAUGUAGUAAACGAGGGAUGUAGGCAUUAUCUUCGUGCACCACCAAAUGUAGUGCAGCCAACGCUGGAAAAACCUCAUAAGCCCAAAUCUGGUUUGAGGAAUAAAACGUGAGUCACUGUAAACAAAUGAAAUUUAACUUCAACAUGAAUGGAAAUUUGCUCACCUGAAGUGCAUAGGCAAAACCUUUGAGGUGGUACUCUCUUGGUCUACCAGUUGCCGUUGUUUUUGCUUUCUUUUCAGAUUUUUUUGUUUUUGCAGCUUUUUUGGGCACUUUCACUCGCUGGUAAUCUGUACAAAGUGCCCUCAGAAGUGACACAAUUGUCUUGGCAUAACACACAGCACCCCAUGGAUACUUCCCAAACUCUUCAAGGUCUUCCACCAACUUCAAAUAUCGCAUGUCAAUCUGGACAUGUUUUUCACUGCCCAACAGCACAAACACAGCAAAGUAUACAAAUCUGAGCUUCAAUACAUCGUCCGCAUCAACGCAUUUGAGGAAGGCCUUUUCUAAUUCCAAAACAUUGACAGUUUUAUAGUUGCCAAAGUACUUCCUUUUCAAUGAGCAGUUCUCAUUAGUGGGAAUCGGAAUAAAGGGAAGGUUUCCAAACCUUAGCCCUGUCACGAUGCAAAAUUGCUGCGCCGUGAAUUGGAUCACCUUAUUGCCAACGAUGAAUUUGAUCCCGUUGAGUUGGGAAACUGUCUUUGGAUCAGCUUUCCUCAGCAGCAAGCCGUGGACAAUUGGCGAAGUCCACUUGAGGUCCUCAAUCAGUAGGAGAUGCCCAAAACAACUCUCUUCAAACCUUUGUAGCUGUUGUUCACUGAAUUUCUCCUUUAUCGUGCUGAUUGCAGUCUUCGUAUGGGAUAGGGACAAUGCUUUUCCUUGGAACUUUUCUUCCUCUGCAAUCAUCAACUUCAUUUGAGCAACCAUCUUUCCCUGCAUGCCAAUAUUAUAAAAAAAAAUUCAGUCCGUUGCAAUCUAGACAAUAACAAGCAAUAAACAAUCAGCACUUAUCUACAGCCUAUUAUAGGAUAUUAAGUGAAAACAAAAAAACAAAAAAUACAGGGCAUAAACAAAACCCCAGCUAUUUACAACUGACCUACUAAUUCAAUAGCUCAAAGCCACAUCCCAAGACACCCAGUACUCUACCACUCUUGCAUAAUAUAAUAUCUAAAGACACAUCUCAACACACCAGAUAAUCAUGACACAGCUUCAGCUAGAAUGGGAAUGUGCGGUAGCACAAGCCUAAUUGAGAACAAUUCAAGACUAACGAUAGAAAUCUAUCUGACUAGAAAGAGUUUUAAAAAAACAAGAAGACAUCGGGAAAGAAUUGAUUGACUUCAAGGUAUAAUGUAAUGGAACAUCCUAUGAAUUAGUGGCAACCAUAAUAAUGACUCCACUAUGGCCCUCCUUUCAAAUGUAAGAAAAUGAAUGAAAUUGGCACCAUCCCUUCAGUUUUUUCUUAACAAAAUAAGAGAUUUGUAUGUAUUCUCUGCUUUAUCGAUAUCAAAGAUAAAUUAAUAAAUAAACCAUCAAAACUGUAUAAAAUGUUUGUUAGACAUGUACAAUUACAAAAUUAUAAGUUCUCCUCAGAAACAAAGUUCUCUAAGUACGCAAACAAGAAAAGCAAAAGCUUAAAGAGUUAGCUUAUAGCAAAAUCAAUGUCCCCAUUUCUCUAAACCACACCUGCUGGUGGUAGGUUCCCAUCUUCACUCAUUUCCCGCUUUCUUUUAAACAGACAAUGAUCAAGCACAAAAGAGCAAACUUUUAAAUAACUCAUAUUACACCACAAAUAGUUCUAAAGAAAACUUAUUCAUAUCCAAUAUGCAACCCCUAAAGUUAGUAAACAGAGUUAUAAAAAAAUAUGUCAAAUUAACAAGCAUUAUUCUCAAACAAAAAGUAUGAUAUGGUUGGGAGUUUACAAGUUCAAAAUGAUAUACACAGGUUAAUUGUCUUAGACUUUAGAUAUCAUCUUCAACAAAGAAAAUAGAUACCGAUUAGACUUGUAAGAAGGUUAAAUGCAAUGGUCAUAAAGACCCAUAGUAAGCCACCAAAUACCAAUCAAUAACUGCUAUAAAAACCAUAAUAAAACCAUAAUAAACUAAAAAUACAACAGCACUAAAAUGCCAACACAACAUCACUACAUUAGCAAUAUAGUAGCAACAAAACCACAAUACGACAUCAAUAGCAACAGCAAAACAACAGCAGUGCAAGCAUCAGUCCACAAAGAACAAACCCAUUCACUGUUUCAAACAAGGAAUCAUCAUACUAAGAUCAUUUCAGAGAAACCCCAAAACCAAUUUCAGUGAAACCCCUAAACCAAUUUCAGAGAAACCCCUAAACCAAUUUCAGAGAAACCCCUAAACCUUCAACCAAUUUCGAACAAAUCCCUGAACCAAUUUCAUAGAAAUGCAUAAACCCUAAACCAACUUCAAAGAAACCCUAAACUGUAAGAAAAUGACGAUGAACAGUACCUGUUCAAGGUGAACGAUGGAGUUGAGCUUCGAUGAACAAAUUUCGCUCGGAGAGGAAGAGAGAAGAGAGAGUCAGAGCUGAGCGACGAGAGAUUAAGGGCUGAGCGACGAGAGAGUGAGAGCUGAUCGACGAGAGAUGAGAGAGUGAGAGCAAAGUGACGACAGAGUGAAGAGAAAUUGAGAGAAGGAGCCAAGAGAGAGAGCUGAGAGAGAACUUCAGCAAAACUGAUAGAGAACUUCAGCAAAAGUGAUAUGUGUACAAUAAGGGGACAAUAAAUAUAUAUUUAUAGGUUAUAGUUCCAAAUUUUUUUAAAAAGAGUGGUAUUUUCAGUUACAAUUAUAAAAAUGGUGGCAUUUUGAGCUAUUUCCUUAUUUUUUAUUCAACAUGGACGCAGAAACUGUUGCUAAACUGCAAACUUCUUAAAAUAUUUGUCUCACUUUCUCAACCCUAUAUUUGUCUAACUUUCUAGAUCCAUGUACUGAGAUUUAUUAGGGAAAUAUUGUAGAAACUGAUUAUUUUGAAAUAUUAAAUGUGAAAAACUGAACAAAAAUUUGAUGGGUUACAUAUUUCAACUCAUUUCAGCAGCUUAGAUUUUGAAGACCUCGGAAGAGGCCAUGCAGUGAGCCUAGCUAGUGCACUGUUGAUCACUUCAGUGUCUACCGAUCUGUAAUUUUUCCAGAUUGGUUAUAUUUUCCUUUACAUAUUCUUAUAUUAUUCCCAGCUGUAAGUGUUUUACACACUUGUCUAUUAGAAAAGGGGAGACUUAUAAAUAAAUCCAAAAUGGGUACAGUAUUUAUAAAGAAUGACAAAAUUAAAGUGUUUGGGCAAUAAUGCCCUUAUUCAUUUUGAGAUUGCCUAAGGAAUAUUUUUUCUGAUUUUCAGAAGAUGCCAAAGGACCGUUGUUUGAUGAUUGCCGUAAGGAGCUAAGAAAACUUGCUUUGAUAGUUUUGGACAGAUGCAUGCUACUGUUGCUGGGAUGAUCUCUUCACGUGAAAUGAGGAUGAUGAUGCUUCUACACUACACAAUCCAACGAAUUCACAUGUCUAUUUCAGAUACAAGUAUAAACUAACAAGGCUUUAAAAUAUGGGCUGAUGCACUGUUGUUGAUGUUGCUGACACUGUUACUGUGUUGUUGAUACUGUCACUGCGUUGCUGUUGGAAAAAGCACAAGGACUUCACAUGUUGCUUUCGUCUUUUGUGGAGGAGAGAGACCUAGGACUUGCAUGUCUUAGAUAUUUAAGAUAAGGGGCUUUCGUUCCAUUUUGAAAAUACUUUGGGUGUUUUUGAAAGGUGAUUGUUUCUUUUGGGUUUCUCACUAAAUUUCGCUUUAGAAGGGAAAAUAAUAAUAAUAAUGUCAAACAAAGUAGGGUAAAUAUUCAGAUAUGCUCAUAUUAUUAUUCUUCUCCAAUAUUGAGGUAUUUAUACAAGUACAAAGAUGUGUUAACCCUAAAUAAAAUAGGAAAUAUAUCUAAAUUAUAAUAGGCAGUAAAUCUCUAUUACAAUAGGACUAAAUAAUAAUUGGUAAGUAACCAAAAUUCUAAUGAAAUAAGGAAUCAAAAUCCUAACUAAGUAAGGACUCGCCAACACUCCCCCUCAAGUUAGGGCAAACAUAUUUCGCAUGCCUAACUUGACAAGCGAGUCAUAGAACACCAUACUUGAGAAGCACCAAUUGUAGAGAAGGUCUUUUCGUCAACCACGAGUGAAACAAGUGACAAACUAAAGCAAAGUUCGCAGCGGAAACACAAGAGCGAAUCCUAAAAAAUAGGGCACAUAGCAGAACACAAAAAUCCUGGAGCACGACAGUAGAUAAGGCAGAACACAGAAACCCUGUUAGCACGGCAAUAGGUAAGGCAGAAAAAGUCAAGAGCAAAGGCAAGGUCAACAGGCGUGACCACAACGAAAACACACCAGCAAAGACAUGAGCAACAAUAUUAGCACCAUAAUAGACAUGAGCAACAAUACUGGUACCAACAACAGCAAUACAAGGCACUGGCACCAGCAAGAGCAACAAGGCAUGGACAUAACAUGCAUAAUCAAUAGUAAUCAACAUUGUCCCCAACAAGAGUCAUAAUAGGCAUGAGCAAUAACAUUGUCCCCACUAAGAGACUUAACAGGUAUGAGUAACAGUACUGGCACCAGCAAAGGGCAUAGUAGUCAGCAGCAAUAACAAUGACAAAUACUUCUAUUAUUGCAGAGACAACUUCUCUUCACUCCCCAUCUCCCCUUGAAGAGAAGGGGUCAUCGGAACCAUAAGAAAAGUGGCACUUAAGAAACAGAAGUUGACUGACGCUCAAAUGUAGAAGAAUCAGCCAUGGCAAAUAGGUAGCUGAAUUGCAGCGGAAUAGAUGAGCAGCGGUGUCACUCCCCCUCAUAUCUGAUAAUGUAUGAGAGUCGAGAUUUGGAGAAAGCAAUAUCGAAAAAUAAAGUUGCAGAACCCAAAUAAAGUUGCAUCUAUCUCCCCAUCAAAUCCGACACUGGUAAAGGGUCGAGAUUUGAAAGAGGAGAAAUUGAAAUAAUAGUAAAGAGACUCAAACAUGCAGUCUCAUGGCAGAAACAAAUGCAAGAGGGGAAGAUGGUAGCAUACGGUUGUCCCAUGAAGAAAAAACUUCAGAAAAGGAGAAUAGUAAGGGAGGAAACCUAGCAAAUCAUGAACAGAGACAAAGACAAAGAUGCUCAAACUGAGAAGCGGAAAGGCAACUCAAGAGAGCAACCGAAGAAGACAGAGGCCCGCAGAACAGUCAAAGUUAAGGCUCGGCGAGUGGUGACGAUGCUCGCGGAGGAAAGCAACGGCUCGGUGAGCGGUGAUGAGGCUCACGGAGUAAAGAGACUUGUUAUGAAGUUUCAAAGAUAGAGAAGCUGAGACAUCAAGAAAGACCAUCUGGCAUACAAAGAUGAAAAAUAAAAAUUUUGGAACAGUAGCAAAGAAGCAUGUGAAGGCUGGUGCGGUGAAAACACAUAUGAAAGGAUGAACAAAAGAAGAUGACUAUACAAGAUGAAGACCCAUGAUGGGUUAGGAAUGAGGAGUGCCAACGACUCUCAAUUUGGCAGAGGUUAUCGCAGGUUAGGAACCUGGCUCUGAUACCAUGUCAAACAAAGUAGGGUAAAUAUUCAGUUAUGCUCAGAUAUGCUCAUAUUAUUAUUUUUCUCCAAUAUGGAGAUAAUUAUACAAGUACAAAGAUGUGUUAACCCUAAAUAAAAUAGAAAAUAUAUCUAAAUUACAAUUGGAAGUAAAUCUAUAUUACAAUAGGACUAAAUAAUAAUUGGUAAGUAACUAAAAUUCUAAUGAAAUAAGGAACCAAAAUCCUAACUAAGUUAGGACUCGCCAACAAAUAAUAGUACAACUCUUAUUAGCAACAGGUUACAAACUUCUUCUACAACACACCAACAUGAAUCUAGCCCUGAUCCACUCUUUUACAUACUUGAAAACAAAACAAAACACGAAAAACAAAAAACAAGAAACAAGAUAGGGAGAAAAUGGCUACGGAGAGACUUCCUGCUAAUCAGGGGCGGCCCUGGGGUGGUGCAAGUGGCGUCACCGCACAGGGCCCCCGAUUCUUAAGGGCCCCCAAAAAAUAAUUCUUUAUAUUAUAUAUAUAUAUAUUAAUAUUAUAUGAAUCGUAUAUAAAGUAUAGCGUCUGGAUGAUAAAGAGACUCAUUAUCAUUAUCUUAGUCAUAAGAUUCAAAAUGAAUUGAUACUUUUGUUAGCUUCUGAGCUCAAAAGUGCAAUCAUUAAAAAGAUUGAAGAAGCUAAAUAUUUUUCUGUGAUUCUUGAUUGUACUCCAGAUGCUAGAAACCAAGAACAAAUGAGUUUGAUAGUAAGAUGUGUGGAUGUCUCUACUAAUUCAAUAAAGGUUGAAGAAUUCUUUUUGGAAUUUUUGAUUGUGAAUGAUACAACAGGACAAGGACUUUUUGAAGAGUUGCAAACGGUGUUGCAAAAACUUAAGCUUGAUAUUGAUAAUGUGAGAGGACAAGGCUAUGACAAUGGAUCAAAUAUGAGUGGGAAAUAUCAAGGUGUCCAAAGAAAAUUUUUGGAUGUAAAUCCUAGAGCAUUGUACACACCUUGUGGUUGUCAUAGUCUUAAUUUAACACUUUGCGAUAUUGCAAACUCUUGUGGAAAAGCAAAAGAUUUUUUUGGAAUCAUACAACGUAUUUAUACAUUGUUUGCUAAUUCUACAAAGCGGUGGAAGAUAUUGAAAGAUAAUGUUAAACACUUAACUCUGAAAUCAUUGUCAGUUACACGUUGGGAAAGUCGUAUUGAAAGUGUGAGAGCAAUAAGAUUCCAAGCUGCAGAUUUAAGAGAAGCUUUACUUCAGUUAGCAGAAAGUGACGGUGACUCCAAAAUAACAAGUGAAGCUAAUUCUUUGGCAACAUAUGAACUUGGAAAUUUUGAGUUCUUAUUGGGCAUGGUUAUUUGGUAUGAUAUAUUAGGUGGUGUCAAUGUAGUGAGCAAAAACUUACAAUCUGAAGACAUGCUUAUUGAUGUUGCUAUUGAUAAAGUGAAAGGGUUGAUUACUUUUUUUUUGAAAAGUAUAGAGAAAAUGGGUUUACAGAAGCUAUGUGUACUGCUAAAAAAAUUGCUACUGACAUGGGAAUUGACCCGGUGUUUCCUGAGAAGCGAAAAAUUCGUAGAAAAAAACAUUUUGAUGAGAAUACUUGUGAGCUAUCCCAAUCAGUUCCUGAAUCAACUGAAGAAAAGUUUAGAAUUGAUUAUUUCUUGUAUUUAGUGGACCAAGCUAUUGGUUCUUUACGAAGAAGGUUUCGACAAUAUCAAGAGUAUGAGAAUUUUUGGGUUUUUGUUUACUUCAGAGAAGUUAAAUUCAUUGGAUGAUUGCGAUUUGAAGAAUAGUUGCAGUCAUCUGGAAAGCAUUUUGAAAAAUGACAAGUUUUCUGAUGUCGAUGGGGAGGAUUUAUUUGUUGAGUUGAAAGUUUUACAAGAGCUUUUACCAAAAGUAAAUACCACAGCUACUGCAAUAUUAAAUUUCUUGAAAAGAUUAAAUUGUUUUCCAAAUGCAUUCAUUGCAUAUAGAAUCCUAUUGACUAUUCCUGUUACUGUUGCAUCUGCGGAAAGAAGUUUUUCAAAAUUAAAAUUGUUAAAAUCAUACUUGAGAUCAACUAUGUCGCAAGAAAGAUUAAAUGGACUAGCUUUGAUUUCAAUUGAAAGUGAACUUCUUGAAAAACUUGAUUAUGAACAUUUGAUUGAUGAUUUCUCUUCUAAAAAUUCAAGAAGAUCAAUUUUCAGACAUUAGUAUUGUACUAGCUGUGUUUUUUUUUUUCUUCUAGGGUAAAAGCUCUCAUAAUAAUUUUAAUUCUUCAAAUAAGACAGCAAAUACAAUGUGAUGAAUUUUGGAUAAUCAGGUAUGUUUUUGUUGUUGCUUUUGUGUUUAAUGCAAUAUAAUCUAAUUUUUUUAAUGACAUUUGUGUGCAACUACUCUUUGAUUUGUGAUUGCCAAUUUUUUUUUCUUUCUAUUAAACACAGAUUGCUUAUUGGAGGCAGCAAGAGACCUUAUAGGGGCACAAGGAGCUUAUUUUUGUACAAAACAUUUAACUUUAUCAAAUGGAAACAUUUAAAUUUUUAUGAAUUUGAUUUCUGAUUGUCAUUGCAUAUUUAUUGAUGGUGAAUUUUAGUUAUAAAAAAAAAAUUGUUUAUGACAUUAAGUUAUGGCAAAUUUUUAUAGUAUUUUCGUAUUAGAUUAUGCGAGGUCCCAAUUUAAGUUUCGCACAGGGCCCUCAAAAUCUCAGGAACGGCCCUGCUGCUAAUACUUGAUCAAUAACAGAGAUAAUAGAGCACACUGUUUGUAUGACAAUGAGUAUCAGAAGAAUAAUAGCUGCAAAGAGAGAAAUAGCUGCCCAAGGUGUGUUGAAAUACUUUUGUCUCAAAUUUGCCUUCCGUCUGUUCGUGGUCUUCUUGCAGUACUCGUUUAGUUUGCCAGCAAGAUCACCAAAAUAGUAGUUUCCGUGGUUCGGAGCAACUUUACUGCAAAGCUUGUUAAUCAUAAUGGAAACCUUAUUGUUGUCACCUAGCGUGUUUACAACAAUUCCAUUGUCAACAAGCAACUCUACAUCCUUUGGGGUGUUUACAAAUUUAUCCAGGAUGAAAACAUAAUCGCUUAUGUAUUUAUCCACGCAAUGGCCUUGUUCAAAGGCAAUGAGAUUUCUAUGUGUAAGCUGUGUAAUCAUGUAUUUCAAUUUUUGGAAUUUCCAAGGUGUUUUUCUUGAACUGUAUAUCGAAUAAGUUCUUGCUUGAUCCCACGUUAAACUUAACUCCGGCCUGGUGUAGUUUUGUCAUGCUGGGUGUACUUUGGAGCCCUCCAUUUUUUUUUCUUUUGGCAGAUGUAAAGUUCUAAUAAAAUCAACAAAAUGUAAAGGUUUUUUAGGAUCAGGAGGCAUAAAAGACUUACGGAAGGCUGGUGAGUUCUCCAAGUUUUCUAAACGCAGUGCCUGUUGGAAGAACUUGUAAGAGAGUUCAAUUAUUGAAGGCUCCCCAGUCUGAGCACCUGUGAGAUUGUAAAGAUCCUCGAGAAUGAAAAAUGGCAGCUGAUUUACGAGCAUAAGCAUGUCAGGCAAUAUAUUUUGUAGCACCCAUGGUUUUUUAAAUAUCCAAGCAUCAUCAUCCUGCAAUUUUUCUUCCUGAAAUUUUUCUUCGGAUUUAUUCCUCAACAAUAGCUCAAUGACAAAGGCGGCAUCAACUAGAAUGAUAUUCACAAAAGUAGCAAUGUUAAACUUCUUAGGGCUAGUUUGGCGGCGUUGUGCUUUUAAAAAAAUAUGCUUCUGCUGUGCUGUGAAAAUAAUUAGCUGUGAAAAAAAGCUACUAGGCGUUUGGUAAACUGUUUUUGAAAAACUGCUGUGAGUAGUCAAAGUGUUUGGUAAAUUUUUAUCAGAAGUACUUUUAGUGUGUAUAAUGACCAAAAAGGACAUGAUGAUGAAAUUGUUUGUUAUUUUCUUCAUUCUUUUUCUACUUUAAAAAAAAAAAAAACCCAAUUUCACUACAUAAAUUUUUAUUCUUUUUUAAUUCACACCUUUUUAUCAAAAAAUUUAAUCUACAAUUAACAUACAUAUUUUACCAUAAAUUAUAAAUUACUAUUAUAACAAAAGUAAUUCUAAAUAUUGUUAUAUUAAUAUGGGCUUCGGACAUGACAAAAAUACAAAAAUUGUUCAAUUUUAAAAUGCCCCAAUAGAUCACUACAAUAUAAAAGAAGCUAAUUAGAUGCAUUCAUUAAACUUGUAGCGAUGCUAUUUCUUAAUGCAUUCAUUAGCUUCUUUUUUUGGUUUCCAAUGGUUCUCUAACAAUUUUAACUAAAAAAACAACCAUAAUGCUUUGUGAACAAUAAAUUCAAGUCCAAAUCUGCUAUUGCCCACACCAUACAUAUAUACAUAAUUGUUCCUUUCAUAAAACUUGAAGAUUCAAUAGUAAUUACACAGUUUACCAAUCUUGAUUCCAACUAUAUCCAUAAAAUUAAACUAUAAUUAGAAAUAGAGGAGCUACAUGUGAUUACUCAUAAAUGCUUCCCACUCUCAUCAUCAUCAUCAUCAUCAUCUUCCUCCUCUGUACUUUGCCUUUCACAAAUGGACAAGACCAGAUGGUAACGUACACGACAUGGUCCACAUAUAGAUAAAUUUUGGGUUCACUGGAGAACAUAAAAGAGUUUUUACACGAAUACAAAGUUAGUUAAGUAGUGAAUAAAGUAAAACUAUUCUGUACAAUUCUAGCUGAUGCAGUCCAAAAAGAAUAUAUGUCUAAUAACUUAAAUAACAAUAAAGAGAAACAAAAGCCUCAUGAAAAAUGCUAGAGUAAAAGUUACAUAACUGAAUCGAUGGACAGAGAACUCCACAGGCAGAGAAACAGCAACAAAAAUUGUCAAAACAGUAGCAAGACCAUGUUGGAGUCAAGGCCAAAGAUCAUAUUUCCUGUGUAUCUUCUUCCAUUCUGAAUUAUUCUCGUAUUCAAAUACUGUAACUCUAUUUCAAGUGCACCCCAAAAUACUUAUCUAAGGCCAGUACAUAGGACUUCAUAAAGGGUGCGAUAAAAAAUAUUGCCCCUUAAUUGAUAAACAGAACCAAGAUCCCAACAGCACACCAAAACUAUACCAACCACACCUACAUAAUAUGGACAGAAAAUCCUGUUGUUCCGAUCUCUAACCACACCAAUGACAUUCAUUAGGAAAAUACAAAAGAUGGGUACCCUGCAUUUCUAACAUUUAAGAUAAAAUUCACUGCCAGCUAAUCACAAAUUUGAAAAGAUGGCAAGAAAAUUGGCUAAGCUUUAACAAAAACCAGAGCAGUCCUUGCAUAGACCUGACUUUUUGCUCCAAGCUUUAGCAGAUCACUUACUGGUAGAGAGCAGAGAACAUGUAUGUGAAUAUCUGAAGUUGGAAGGGUAAGCCAUCACAAACACCAAGAGAUCUGAUUCUCAUCUCUUGUUACAACAACAAAUCACAAACACCAAUACAUCUGAUUCAGAAUCUCAUAAACAAUGGAGGAACAAACACAUAUUCACACACAUAUAAAUCCCUAAACAGAAAAAAUAAAAAAUAAAAAAAAAACCAUGAAAGUCAUAGGAGAAUCAAAUUGAUUUGGGCCAAAAUUGCCUAAAAAGAAAACACUCCUAAAUAAACUUCAAUUCACUUUUAAAAACAGUAAAACAUGAUUGAAUCAUUCUUUAAAACAAUUCCCUAAUAUACAUGCAUGAUAAUGACAUCAUUUACCCCUGAAUCAAAUGCCUUUCACUGGUCAAGCCACAAGUCUGUGUUUUGGGAAUUGCUGAGCUGCAUCAAUCCUGCCAAUGUAAAUUCUGCCCCUAGGCUCUCUCAAAGUGCGUUUACAACCUAUGCUAACAUAUACUAGAGUUUGUUUUAGUAUCUAGAAAAUGCCAACACUAAUUUCGUAACACGUAGAAAUUGUUACAUAUUGGAAGUUUUUAUCAUUUUUUCUUCCAGUCUCUCCACCACUCACUAAUACAGAUUACUCAUGUGAUGAGUUUACAAAACAUAUUUCUCUACUCCCACAAAGACCAUACUUUUUCUCAAAAGACUAUAUCACUUUAUCUCUAUCUUUGUGAAAUGUAAAAAGUUGAAACUUUAAUGUCAAACCUCGACAAAAGAUGAACAUCCAUCAUCAAUUACAUUGAAUUUGAAUUUGUUGAACUUAAGUAGUUUUACUUCUCUGUCAGCGUUUGAUGACUUGAUUUGUUAUUUACUUCUUCUUUUUUCCUUGGAAAUGUGUUCCAUCAACGUGAGGAAGAAAAAUAUGCACAAAUUAAUAUAUUUAAUAGAAGCAAAAAUUAAUAUUUACAAAAAUAUGCACAAAUCAAGUAAAAUUAAUAAAGCAUAAAUUGGAAAGGGAAAAUAUGUAGAGGAUGCAUUGUAGGAUUGCUCAUGCCAAUAAUUGUACCCUCUAAAUAUAUAGGGACAUAUUUUUUUUUGUUUUCAUGACAUGUGGUCCUAAAAUUAUUGUUCUUAGCGGGCUCUCCACCCCUCUCGACUGAAAACCUAUUGUGUAAAUCUUCAAUCCUGAAUGAUGCACCUAAAACUCAUGUUGCAAUACACAUCCACCCAUUCUCAGGCCAAUUAUUACUCCUAGUGGGCUCUCCACCCCCUCUCAAAUUUAAGUGGUCCAUUAUUAUUAACCGUAUAUUUUAUGGACCAGCCAGCUGUGAGGUUUUAUCUCAAAAACCUUUCUCCCACAUGCCACAAUUUAUGUCUGAUACAUCACAUCAUGCCAGUUGUCUCAAAUGAAUUUAAGUGAGUGAGGCAGUGUUACUUCUGGGUACCCCUCAUUAUUCGUCUAUAAAUUGGUGAAGCCAGUUGCUACUGUUACCAUAAGAGCCAGCUCCGACUUUCAAAAUAAAAAUUCCAACAACGGUCUUAGUGCCUUCAAUUGUAUGAGUCAUUGAACAUGCAAAUGAAUAAAAUAUGAAUGAUAAAAGUGUUUGAUAAAUCACCAAGUUAUAGAACACUUGAUGAUUUAUCUCAAAUAAAAAUUCAGCUUUCUAAAGUUUGUGAAUUGAAAAUAUAAUCGUUAAAGCUCUCUAAACAAAGAAGACGAAAGUCUUAUUUUAUAGAAUUUUUCUUUACAAGAAAGAAAACAUGUUGAAAACCAAAUCUCCAAUUUCCAAGGCUUGACAGAAAAUCAAAAAAAUAUCUUUCCUAUUCUAGAGAUUGGUCACAUGUAGUUCAACCAAUAGGAAAUGAGAUAUUUAAGAAAGCAAGAUUUUGAUCAAUACCAAUAUCAAAUGAAUUCUUAUACGCCUAGUCAACUAUUAAGGGUAUCUUGACUCCUUGAUAUUGUGAUAUGAUUGAAACAUGAUUUCCAUGUUAGAAAAUUAAGGGGAUGUUAAAACAUGAAAGUAAUAGGAGAAUCAAAUUGAUUUGGACUAAAAUUGCCUAAAAAGAAAACACUCUUAAAUAAACUUCAAUUCACUUUUAAAAACAGUAAAACAUGAUUGAAUCAUUUUUUAAAACAAUUCCCUAAUAUACAUGCAUGAUAAUGACAUCACUUACCCCUAAAUCAAAUUGUCACGCCCCGGACCUGGGGGUCAGUGGAAACCCCACGUUCGGUGCGUGAGAAAAUAAAAAGUAAAAUAAAAUAAAAAGAAUGCCGAAACAAGGGUUUAAAAUAAACUUCUCUUAUAAAAAUAACUCCAAAAUCUUACAACUUUACAAGAAAUAAAUAAAGCCCUAUCAUUCUUAUCUAAUUCAGCCUCAACUGGUUUAGUCCUUGUCUUGCCCACUAAUUCAUCUAAAAAAUGAAGAGUGUUGCUAAACGAACCCUAAAAUUAAUUGAGUACACCCUACUACCAAACGAUUUAUUGAAUUUGUCACAUCUCGGGAUCAACUCCGCCGUAGCACGAUAUUGUUCGCUUUGGGCCCUCCCUCUCUGGCUCGCAUGGUUUUGUUUCUGGGAACUCACGAGUAACUUCCCAGUGGGUCACCAAUCCUGGGAUUGCUCUAGCCCACAACUCGCUUAACUUCGGAGUUCCUACGACUCCGAAGCCUGUGAGCUCCCAAAAGGUCUCGUGCUAGAUGGAUGCGGGUGUGCACAUAUAAGGCACAUCACCCCCUCUCCGUUGGUUGAUGUGGGAUCUUAUAGAAUUACUAAUUUAUCCUAAUAUAAAAUGACCAAAGAAGAUAAAAUAAUAUUGGUAUCUAUUGCUUUGAAUCCAUGCCUUCAAACAAAUUGACUUAAUUUUUAACAAACAACACGGAGUCCAGGAGAAGUGUAUUGAUCCAAGUUGAUUUUUGUAUGCGUAAAACUUAAACAAUCAAUAACACAAAGCAGUUCAUGCUGAAAUAUUGGAAACCCACACCCAAAGAGUUCUCCGCUGCGAGGUUGAAGGCAGGAGAGAUGGGUGACAGAUUUUACUUCCACUGCGAAGUUGGAGGCUAGGAGAGUCUGUGACUGCCAUGGUUGAGGGAGAAGAUGCGUUCAAAAUGCCUAUUGAUAUUUUACAUUAUUGGCUUUUUUCAAAAGUGAAAGUUUUUUUAUGGGUAAAACCUAAAUUUACUUUUUCUAUACAAGUUAACAGUGUUUGUGUAUUGUGAAAAGGUGGAGAGACGUGUCAAAAUUUUAGACAAAGGACAGGAGGAGAUAGGGAAUUUGGGGACAGCAGAUCUCAACUCCCUUGAGACCCUAUUCUCUACGCCACCCCUCCCCCUCAACAACCCUAGUCACCAUUUCUCCUUCAACUCCAACGGCAACUCAUUAAAACCCAAUUCUCAAAUGCAACAAUCUAAUCCCAAUCCCAAUUCAGAUGUUUCUAAAAAACCCAUUGUCGUGGUGGAGAACUGCAAUUCCAGGUGGUGGUGGUGGUACCACAUGGGAGAGAGAAAAAAGAAGAAGAAGAAGCAGGAGAGAGAGAGUUUUUUAUUUUAUUAUUAUUUUACUGUAAUUUUUUAAUUUAAAUAAUUAAAAAAAUUAAAAGUUAAAGAGGAUGUACCAUGGGUAUUUUUGGUAGUUAAAUAAGGUGUACUUAGGGUCAGUUUGGCAUUGCUGUGCUGUGAAAAUAAUAGCUGUCAGAUUUGCUGUGAGAGAAAUCAGCUGUGAGAGAAAUCAGUUUGGCGUUUGAUAAAAUUUUUGUUAAAAGUGUGUUGAUAUUGAUUUUAUGCUUAAUCCGAAAAUGAUUGCUGCAUAAUCAUUAAACCCAGCGCCUCUUCGAAACUGAUUCCUAUAUAAUCAGAAAAUGAAAGCACCUCAUUAGCUGCUUUCCUUUAUAGCUUUCUCUCACAGCAAUUUUUAACAAUAAGUGAUUUUCUCACAGUUUACCAAACGGGUUGGGCUUCUCAAAAUUUUUUAAAAAUCACUUAUUACCCCAAAUAAGCAAUACCAAACGGGCACUUAGUUAAUUUUACAUUUUAAUUUAAACAUUAGGGUGUACUCAGUUAAUUUUAGGGUUCGUUCAGCAGCACUCAAAAUUAAACAAGGUGAGGGAUGAGCAAGUAGGGACAUGAGACAUUGCCACAGUAGAUUGAUAUAACUAAAUAUUAUUAUAAACAUAGAAAUAUAUAAGUAUUAUUAUAAUAGGAUUCAUAAUAAUUAAUAUAAAAGUAUAACAACAAUAUUUACAUUUAUGUACCAAGAUAAUUACACAUAUAAAUAUAACCAAUAUAUAUUUUUAUAUAUUUUAAAAUAUAAGUCUUUACGUAAAUGCCUUUCACGGGUCAAGCCACAAGUCUGUGUUUUGGGGAUUGCUGAGCUGCAUCAAUCCUGCCAAUGUCAAUUCUGCCCCUGAGCUCUCUCAAAGCACGUUUAAAACCUAUGCUAACAUAUACUAGAGUUUAUGCUGUAUCUAGAAAAUGCCAACACUAAUUUCGUAACACGUAGAAAUUGUUAGAGAUUGGAAGUUUUUAUCAUUUUUUCUUCCAGUCUCUCCACUACUUAUUAAUACAGAUUACUCAUGUGAUGAGUUUACAAAACCUAUUUCUCUACUCUCGCAAAGACUAAACUUCUUCUCAAAAGACUAGAUCACUUUACCUCUAUCUCUGUGAAAUGUAAAAAGUUGAAACUUUAAUGUCAAACCUCGACAAAGUGUUCUACUUUACAAACUUCUUGUGUCUACCAAUUUGUACUAAAAUUAAUUUCUCUACAGUGCUCAGAUUCAUCAUAUGUGUGUCCUUAAUUUUAGUGGAAAUUGGAAGUUUCCAUAAUUUUUGCUUUAAGUCACUCUUCUGAAGGAAGUUGAGGUUCCACUUCAUAAUCCAAAAUGUCAGGUUGACUUAUGGCAAACAAUGUAAAUAUGUAGGAGUACUAUGACCUUUUAUAGCAUUUUUAGUUUGAAUUUGGGUUUUAUACAUAGAUUUCAAAAUUAAUAGGUUGAUGCCUAGGAAAUAGAAAUUGUAAGGGCCUAUAUUAGAGUAGCCCUCUUAAAAAUAAUAUUAAUUAAUGAAUAUUUGUUCUUCUUGUUGUUUUGAAGUAGUGGUGGGAGGCAGACCAACAAAAAAAAAAUAUAGUGAAGGCUUAUAAGAGCAUUUACAAUCAUGCUCCCUAUUUUUUAGUUAAAAUUUAGCUAAAAAUAGAAAAAAAGUUAUUAUAGGAGCUCUUUAUAAAGCUCCUUUAUAAAAUUUGAACUCCAAUCAUACUCCCUAGUUUAGGGAGUCAAAAAUACUAUAGUUAUUUUUUAAUUCAAUUUGAUUUUGGUUAAUCUCUAUAAAUAUGAAAAAAUAGUUAGCAUUAAUUAAAAGUUUAAACUAUGCAUAAAACAAAGAAACAUUAAAUUAUAGGGAGCCACUAUGAGUCAUUACUCUCUCCUCAGAUUUAGGAGCUCCUAAAGGUCUCCCUAUUUUAUGAGGUGGAUAAGGAGCAUGGUUGGAGUUGUAUUUCUUCAAUUUCCUCCCUAAAAUUUGUCUAAGGAUGUGGUUUAGGGAGCCCAUUGUGAAUGCUCUAACUCUGGUAAAACACGAGUGACAUGGACAACAUAUGUUACGUCGUACUGAAGAUUUUUGGGUUUCUUUAAUUGGUUAAGUAGCAUCCACACAGCUUCCUAAAUCAUCUCCUUAGACAAAUUUUAGGGAGGAAUUGGAAAAGUACAACUCCAACUAUGCUCCCUAUCCACCAACUAAAAUAGGGAGACUUCUAGGAGCUCCUAAAUCUGAUGAGAGAGAAAGGACUCUUAAUGACUCCCUAUAAUUUAAUGUUGCUUUAUAUUAUUUUGUAUACAGACGGGUCAAUUAUAUUAAAUUAAAAAAUAAUUAAAGUAUUUAUGACUCUCUAAACUAGUGAGCAUAAUUGUAGAUCAUCUUAUAUACCUUAAUUUGAAGAUUCUUUAUUUGGGUUUCUUUCAAGACUUAUCACCUUAGCCACGCCACCUACACGUCUGCAAGCUUUCCUAACAAGGAAGGGGAGGCUGCGCAAUACUUAUCACCUUAGCCACACUACACCAAAUUGACGUCUGCAAGCUUUCGUAAUCUAACAAGGAAGGGGAGGCUGCGCAAUACUUAUCACCUUAGCCACACCAACACCACAAGACCAAUAUGUGUAGUCCAGGAGGCUUUCCCAUUUUAAUAUAUAUUAUCAAAUAAAAUAAAAAUCAAUCUAUUAUCAUAUAUAUUAUAAAAUAAAGAUUAUUGCUCCAUCCUCCAUGCACUUGCAUGCCUCUUACAAAGUGUGAAGUAGAUUUUGUGUGCUCCAAGUCAUUGACGAGAGCUGUAACAUGGUUAGCUGGAUUUAUAAGAUCUUUUCUUUUCUGGGAAUUUUCUGAAUCAAGAAAAAUUAAGUAAAAUUAAUAAAGCAUAAAUUAGAAAGGAAAAAUAUCUAGAGGAUGCAUUGUAGGAUUGCACAUGCCAAUAAUUGUAUCCUCUAAAUAUAUAGGGACAUAUUUUUUUGUUUUCAUGACAUGUGGCCCUAAAAUUAUUGUUCCUAGCGGGCUCUCCACCCCCUCUCGAUUGAAAACUAAUUGUGUAAAUCUUCAAUCUUGAAUGAUGCACCUAAAACUCAAGUGUCCCAGGCCAAUUAUUGCUCUCAUACCACUUGUUGUAAUAAACAUCCAUCCAUUCUAAAGGAAAGAUAACCAUCGAUAUUAUCUCAAAUUUAACCACUUAAGUUCAUUAUGAUUAACUAUGUAUCUUAUGGACCAAUCCAAUCAUGAGGUUUUAUACCCAAUUAGAUCGACUAAUACAAAGUUCACACGUGGAUUGAAAAGCGCUAUCAGUAGGGGAGUGUUCGGCACCCUUUACUGCCGAACGCAACACAAGACCCCUUGCAUGCCUUCACUAAGUUGAGCCUAUCUAUUUUUUAGCAUUAACAAUAUAUAUAGAUUGAAAAAAUAAAAUAAAAAUCAAUCUAUUAUCAUAUAAAAUAAAUAUUAUUGCUCCAUCCUCCAUACACUUGCAUGCCCUCUUACAAAGUGUGAAGUAGAUUUUUUGUGCUCCAACUCAUUGACUAGGGCUGAAACAUGGUUAGUUGGAUUUAUAAGAUCUUUUCUUUUCUGGGAAUUUUCUGAAGCACGGAAAAUCAAAUAAAAUUAAUAAAGCAGAAACUGUACCCUUUAAUUAUAUAUGGACGUAUGUUUUUUUGUUUUCAAGUCUUAGAUGACAUGGGGACCUAAAAUUAUUGCUCCUAGUGGACUCUCGACCCCUCUCAAAUUUAAGUGGUCCAUUAUUAUUAACCACAUAUUUUAUGGACCAUGCAGCUGUGAGGUUUUAUCUCAAAAACCUUCGGUACAUUUCUCCCACAUGCCACAAUUGUAUAUUCACAAUUACGGCUGUUACGUCACAUCAUGCCACUUGCCUCACAUGCAACAAGUCUGUGUUUUGGGGAUUGCCGAGCUGCAUCAAUUCUGCCAAUGUCAAUUCUGCCCCUGGACUCUCUCAAAGCACAUUUAAAACCUAUGCGAACAUAUAUUAGAGUUUAUGAUGUAUGUAUCUAGAAAAUGCCAACACUAAUUUCGUAACAUGUAAAAAUUAUUAGAGAUUGGAAGUUUUUAUCAUUUUUUCUUCCAGUCUCUCCACCACUUAUUAAUACAGAUUACUCAUGUGAUGAGUUUACAAAACCUAUUUCUCUACUCUCGCAAAGACUAAACUUCUUCUCAAAAGACUAGAUCACUUUACCUCUAUCUCUGUGAAAUGUAAAAAGUUGAAACUUUAAUGUCAAACCUCGACAAAGUGUUCUACUUUACAAACUUCUUGUGUCUACCAAUUUGUACUAAAAUUAAUUUAUCUACGGUGCUCAGCUUCAUCGUAUGUGUGUCCUUAAUUUUAGUGGAAAUUGGAAGUUUCCAUAAUUUUUGCUUUAAGUCACUCUUCUGAAGGAAGUUGAGGUUCCACUCCAUAAUCCCAAAUGUCAGGUUGACUUAUGGCAAACAAUGUAAAUAUGUAGGAGUACUAUGACCUUUUAUAGCAUUUUUAGUUUGAAUUUGGGUUUUAUACAUAGAUUUCAAAAUUAAUAGGUUGAUGCCUAGGAAAUAGAAAUUGUAAGGGCCUAUAUUAGAGUAGCCCUCUUAAAAAUAAUAUUAAUUAAUGAAUAUUUGUUCUUCUUGUUGUUUUGAAGUAGUGGUGGGAGGCAGACCAACAAAAAAAAUAUAGUGAAGGCUUAUAAGAGCAUUUACAAUCAUGCUCCCUAUUUUUUAGUUAAAAUUUAGCUAAAAAUAGAAAAAAGUUAUUAUAGGAGCUCUUUAUAAAAUUUGAAUUCCAAUCGUACUCCCUAAUUUAGGGAGUCAUAAAUAUUAUAGUUAUUUUUUAAUUCAAUUUGAUUUUGGUUAAUCUCUAUAAAUAAAUAAAAAUAUGAAAAAAUAGUUAGCAUUAAUUAAAAGUUUAAACUAUGCAUAAAACAAAGAAACAUUAAAUUAUAGGGAGCCACUAUGCCAAUAAUUGUAUCCUCUAAAUAUAUAGGGACAUAUUUUUUUUGUUUUCAUGACAUGUGGCCCUAAAAUUAUUGUUCCUAGCGGGCUCUCCAACCCCUCUCGAUUGAAAACCAAUUGUGUAAAUCUUCAAUCUUGAAUGAUGCACCUAAAACUCAAGUGUCCCAGGCCAAUUAUUGCUCUCAUACCACGUGUUGUAAUAAACAUCCAUCCAUUCUAAAGGAAAGAUAACCAUCGAUAUUAUCUCAAAUUUAACCACUUAAGUUCAUUAUGAUUAACUAUGUAUCUUAUGAACCAAUCCAAUCGUGAGGUUUUAUACCCAAUUAGAUCGACCAAUACAAAGUUCACACGUGGAUUGAAAAGCACUAUCAAUAGGGGAGUGUUCGGCACCCUUUACUGCCGAGCGCAACACAAGAUCCCUUGCAUGCCCUCACUAAGUUGAGCCCAACUAUUUUUUAGCAUUAACAAUAUAUAUAGAUUGAAAAAAUAAAAUAAAAAUCAAUCUAUUAUCAUAUAUUUUAUAAAAUACAUAUUAUUGCUCCAUCCUCCAUACACUUGCAUGCCCUCUUACAAAGUGUGAAGUAGAUUUUUUGUGCUCCAACUCAUUGACUAGGGCUGAAACAUGGUUAGUUAGAUUUAUAAGAUCUUUUGUUUUUUGGGAAUUUUCUGAAGCAAGGAAAAUCAAAUAAAAUUAAUAAAGCAGAAACUGUACCCUUUAAUUAUAUAUGGACAUAUGUUUUUUUGUUUUUUUGCUCUCGACCCCUCUCAAAUUUAAGUGGUCCAUUAUUGUUAACCACAUAUUUUAUGGACCAUCCAGCUUCGGUACAUUUCAAAAAGCUUCGGUACAUUUCUCCCACAUGACACAAUUGUAUAUUCACAAUUACUUCUGGGUACCCCUCAUCAGUCGUCUAUAAAAUGGUGAAGCCAGUUGCUACUGUUACCAUAAGAGCCAGCUCCGACUUUCUUUAAUUUCUUGCUACAUCUGUUGCUAAGUUAAUUUCAGUCCUAAUGGGGUUUCAUCUCCCACUCAUCUUUGCUAUUCUCAGUGUAAGCUCUGCAAUUUGAUUAACUUUUCCAUUCUCUCUCAUUGUACUCUAUAUAUAUAAAUGAAAGUUUUGUGUUCCUAUAAUUCUCUCCGAUUUUAUUUAGUACGUACUUAAGUGUCGUCCACUAAUUAAUUACACUUUGUGAGAUUUGAUUUUAAUUAGAGUUCGAAUUAAUGUUGCAGCUAGCAGCGGUUGCACUGGCAAACAAUGCUGCUCAACCAGCACCUCAACUUUACUGGAACUCCGUCCUGCCAAACACACAGAUGCCAAGAUCUAUCAGUGAACUUCUGCAUCCUGGUUUGUGUUCAGCUCUUUAUAAUCUUAGAUAUCUCUUCUACCUGCCAUUUUACUAAAAUAUGUUCGACCACAUAUUUAUCAGCUAACUACUGUGAUUACAAGAAUGACACUUAUUUUCCAAUAUAAUUUGCAGACUCCACAAAUGAAGAAAAGAGCAAACCUGAAAUUUUCCCAUUGCAGGGCAAUAGAGUUUACACUCAAAGCCAUUAUAAAAAACGUCCUCCUCCUCCAUCUGACGAGGGCAAACCUGAAACUUUCCCAUUGGGCAAUAGCCAUUACACUCAAACCCGUUAUAAAAAACGUCCUCCUCCUCCAUCUGACGAGGGCAAACCUGAAAAUUUCCCAUUGGGCAAUAGCCAUUACACUCAAACCCGUUAUAAAAAACGUCCUCCUCCUCCAUCCGACGAGGGCAAACCUGAAAAUUUCCCAUUGGCCAAUAGCUUUUACACUCAAACCCGUUAUAAAAAACGUCCUCCUCCUCCAUCUGACGAGGGCAAACCUGAAAAUUUCCCAUUGGCCAAUAGCUUUUACACUCAAAGCCAUUAUAAAAAACGUCCUCCUCCUCCAUCUGACGAGGGCAAACCUGAAAAUUUCCCAUUGGCACGUUCUCCUCCAUCUGACAGUCAACUAAAGCAUUACAAAGACUUAGCUAUUUUCUUCUUCGAGAAGGACAUGCGCCCGGGCACAACUAUGAAGUUCCAAUUCCCUAGAAAUUCAAACACGGCUACUUUCCUGCCACGCGAAAGUGCUCAAUCGAUCCCCUUCUCCUCUAAGAAACUACCAGAAAUUUUCAACCAUUUUUCAGUGAAGCCAACAUCUGAGGAAGCCAAAACAAUUAAGCAAACAAUCGAAGAGUGUGAAGCUCCAGGCCUUAAGGGAGAGGAAAAAUAUUGCGCCACAUCUUUAGAAUCAAUGGUUGAUUUUAGCACUUCGAAGCUUGGAACAAGAAACGUUGAAGCAAUCUCAACGGAGGUAUUGGAAGAAGGAGCCACCAAGUACAUGCACAACUAUACAACAAUGCCGGGACUGAAGAAGUUGGAAGGUGACAAAGUCGUUGUGUGUCAUAAGGAGAACUAUCCCUAUGCUGUGUUUCUCUGCCAUGCAAUAAAACAAACAGAAGCUUAUGUUCUCUCCCUGAAAGCCGAUGAUGGGAUGAAGGUGAAAGCAGUAACCAUCUGCCAUCUAGACACAUCAGAAUGGGACCCAGAGCAUUUGUCCUUCCAAAUCCUCAACGUUAAGCCCGGAACCACUCCCAUCUGCCAUUUCCUUACCACUGAUGCUAUUGCCUGGGUUCCAAAACACAAAUCUGCAUGAUCAUCACUUAGCACUGUACGUGUAAUAAGCUUGGUCGGGUUGCACCCUAGGCCUGCAUAAUUAUCUCCCUACUUAUUUCUGCCUCUUCAUCAUGCGGUGUAAGAUAUAUGAUGAGAUGAAGUUUUCUCUUGUAACUAUGUAGACUACUUCAACUUGUACUCAUAAUAAAGCACG
rnacentral:lncRNA from 1 species